rnacentral:lncRNA from 1 species
CUGCCUCGUGAUCUGAAAACAUGAAUUUGAAAAUGGUGAGUAUAAACCCAGUGAGUGAACAAGGAAGGGAACAAGUAACCAUAGGGAAGAAUUUCAAAUCAUGAUGCACUUGUUUUAAAACAAUGCAAUUUAAUUUCAUUCAUAUUAAAAACCCCUCAUUAAACCCUUAUAUGAUUAAUCAAUUGGUAAUGAGGAACCCAUACAUAACAAAUAAUUCCAAAACUAAAAGCUUCAGUGAUACACCAACAAGUCAAAUGUGACGACGAAUCUUCGCUGCAGCGACGUUGGGAUUUAGUUAUUAGCCGAAAGAGGGUUUCUCAACUGGCCAAGGGUUUCUCACUAAACCUCCUCAUUUUAAACUUAACUCAUUUAGUCCUUAAUGUUGGAAGUCCAUGCUCAGAUAUGGUAGCAAGGAAGUGAAAAAUAAGGUAGCAAUUGGACAAAAUAGAGAGUUUUUCGCUGCAGCGAGAUUGAAUUUUGCUGCAGCGAAGUUGUUACCCAGAAACAGAAAGUUUUUUGCUGCAGUGAGAAUGAAUUUCACUGCAGCGAGUUUUCGACCAAUCUACCCCUCCAAACCCGAGAGUUUCUCGCUGCAGCAAGAUUCGUUUUCACUGCAACGAGAUGCUACAGUGACUAUCUCGCUGCAGUGAGAUUCAUUUUUGCUGCAGAGAGAACCAGUUUUGGUGAAAGGUCCUCAAACCCGAGAGUUUCUCACUGCAAUGAGCAUGAAUUUUGCUGUAGCAAAAACAGAGCAAUAAGAGAAAAGUGUCCCAUCACUCAACAAAAAGUCAUCCUGCUAAACUAACAAAAUCCACAUAAAACUCAUGAAAAUUCUCAAAGUAUAAUGUGUCAAAUUUCACAUAUAUGUCAACCAUAUAUCACAUUCAUUAUCUUUCAUUUCAUAAAUCUAGAUAUGCAUAAUUACAUAGACAAACAUCAAUGUCAUCAUAAUCACACCCGGCUCAUGUACAUCCCCCCACAUCGUGCACGUAGCCGGUAUCAUCGUGUGCAUCCCCCCACAUCGUGCACAACCAGUGCCAUCAUGUACAUCCCCCCACAUCGUGCACACGGGCACUAUCAUCAUCUAUCUCUCACGCCACCAACAUCACCGGCAUGUGCAUUCUCCCCCACAUCGUGCACACACCCGGUUACAGUCAUUAUACACAAUAUCAUUCAUCAUGCACAACAUAGAUAUAUAUAUUAUCAUAAUACAUUAGUGCAUGAAUCCAUAGCAAUCACAUAUUACAACAUAAAACCAUUUUGCAAAAGCUUGUUCCCAAGGCACUUAUUUUCAUGAAAAGCUUGAUAAUUCAUUCAAAUGGGUGGCAAUUACAUUAUAUUUCCCAAAACAAGUUUUGAAGGCAGUCCACUCACCGAUUUAUUGUUGAGCCUUUAGUUGACUCUAAUUCUCCUAAUGAUCCAAUCGGAAGGAUGGGACUUCAUUAGAACCUAGGAUCACAUUAGCAUAAACAAUAGGUCAAUUCACACACUAUGAACCCUAAAAGUUAUCUCUUAGCUAGCUUUCAAUUGUCACAUUAAAUGGCUAUCUAUGUUCACUAUCUUAAUCACAAAAGAAGUAAUGAACAUACUCAAUAAUAAAACAGCUGUUAAUCUAAAUUACUAGUCAUUAUUCACAGCUAAAAAUCAAGCUUGGUUCAUCACUCACCCUAGGGUUCCUUUGUAGUUGAAUUCUCUUCCAAUAGCUUCCAAAUCAAUUGGUUAAUUCUCUUUUUCUCUCUCUAGAACACCCAACUAGUGAGAGAAAGUCUGGAAAUAAGCUUUAUCAAGGGUUUUGAAGUGAAAGAGUGAAAGAAUACUAGAGUUCUAGUCAAAAGGGUUCAAAGGUAUGAAAACUAGAGCUAGAGAGAGAAAAUUAUGCAAGUUUCAAAUCAAGCUUCCAUGGAGUUUUGAAGAAACAUGAGAGAGGAGAAGAAAAAGAAGACAAGCUGCUGAAAAAUCUCUAAAAGCUGCUGGAAAUUCAAGAUAUUUAUAGCCAAUCUUAUCCAUUACCUUAAAAUUACGAAAAUGCCCCUCCACCAAUUAACUUAUUCUCAUCUAAUCUUUUAUGCAAUCUUUUUGCUCUUUCAACACUAGGACAAGGUCCAUAAUGGUCUAAACAUACUCAGGUUCAUAAAAACUUAAAAUUUUAACCCAAGGUGAAAAAUGAUCAUUUUGCCCCUGUUAUGAAAAUUGUUGAAACUUCUAGUUUUCUUCGUGUUUUCAUCAGUACACAUCAUUUAUACAGUCUUAUACCUAUUUAGACCUUAAAAUAUCAUAAAACUUACUUUUGAGAGCUUAUUAGAGAAAAUGACGAAACUACCCUUAACUCGUAUUAUUACAUCUAUGCUUAGCUACAAGCCUAUAGAGGUUGGGGUCUCACAAUGCCAAUCAUAGGAUACUUUUGGGCAUAGUAUGAAGCUUAUAAAGACAAAUGAGUGGUUAAAAUAGGAAUCAUCACCCCAAGUGAUUCAAGGAGAAAUAUCUCAUUAGUUUUUGGUUGAUUUUAGCUUAAUCAAAUCCUUGGCCAAGGUGAUUAGGAGAUUAUGAAAUAAGUUUCAUAAGUCUCUAUAAAGCUGAUGAUCAAACUGCAGGAACAAAUAUAAAGGUCAAUAAAAGUAGAUAUUUGUGAGACCUCAUCCCUUAUGGGCUCAUAACUACGCAUAGACGCAAUAACACGGGCUAGGGAUAGUUUCGUCAUUUCCUCUAAAAAAAAAAAGCUCCCAGAAGAAGGUUUAAUGAUAUUUCAAGGUCUAAAUAGGCAUAAGACCGAAUAAAUAAUGUGUAAUGAUGAAAACACGAAGAAAACUAGAAGUUUCGAUAAUUUUCAUAAUAGGGGUAAAAUGGUCAUUUUGCACCCCGAGUCAAAAUUUUAAGUUGUCGUAAACCCGAGUAGUUUAUAUCAUUGUGGACCUUAUCCUAGUGUCAAAAGAAUAAAAAGAUUACAUAAAGGAUUGGAUAAGAACAAGUCAACUUGCUAAAGGGCAUUUUCGUAAUUUCUAAAGGAAUUGAAUAAGUUUGAGCUAUAAAUAUCUUCUCCUUCUAGCAGCUUCUUCAAUUUUCAGCAGCUUCUUUUUCUUCUUUCUUCCAUCUCACGUUGCUUCCAUCCUCCAUGGAAGCUUGAUAUGAAACUUUCACAACUUUCUCUCUCUAGCUCUAAUUUUCGUACCUUUGUGCCCUUUUGACUAGAACCCUUGUGCUCUUUCACUCUCUCACUUUAAAACCAUCAAAAUGUCCUUGUUCAGCACUUUCUCUCACUAGUUGGAGGUUUAGAGAGAGAAAGAAAGAUUUUUCACAUUUGUUUGGAAGCUAUUGGAAGAGAAUUCAACUACAAUGAAACCUUAAGGUGAGUGAUGAACUAGGCUUGGUUUUAAGUUAUUGAUAAUGGCUAGUAAUUGAGAUUAUGAGUUGUUUUAUUGUUGAGUUGUUUACUCAUUUUUAGUGUGAUUAGAGUAGUGCAAGGAAUAGCCAUUUGAUAUAGUUGGAAGCCAAUUAGGAAUGACUAGUAGAAUUUGAAUUAGAAACUAGCUUUUAGAGUGAUAUUAAUGUAAAUUGGAUUGGUUGUGAUGUUGUGUGUGUAUAGGUUCCAACAAGGCCUCACAUGUCCAUUUGGAGUAUUAGUUGAGGUUAGAGUCAAGCAAAAGAAACAACAAGACCGGUGAGUGAACUUGCAUUUCAAAGUAUUUUUGGGAAUGUGAAUGUGUUUGCACAAGACAUUAAAUGAUUUUAUCAAACUUUUCUUAAGAAUGGGUCCCCUGGGAACAAGCCCUUGAUAAAUUAUCUUUGUGUUGUGAUAUGUGGAUAUUAUGGAUUCAUAUACUGCUACAUUAUGUUGAUAUAUAUAUACGAAUAAUGUUGUGUAAUGUUGCUGACCCGGCUAUGUGCAAGUAGGAGUGCGCAUAAGUCAUUGCUGACCCGGCUAUGUGCUAGUAGGAGUGCGUAUAAGCCGUUGCAUAUGAGCUGAUGAUGAUGGGAGGGUGUGCAUGAUGAUUGAUAUAUAUAUACACAUAUAUGGUAUAUGGUUGUAAUGCAUGUGAAAUUUUGGCAUGUUGAACUUUGGAAAUUUUUUAGCAUUUCAUGUUGAAAUUGGCAUGAUGAAUCUUAAGAAUGUCCCAUUUUCUUGUAAAUUGAGUUCAUUACAACACCAAAUGGAUUUUUAGUGCAAAAGAGGUCUUUUUUUCACUUAGGUGCCCUGCUUCUCACUGCAGCGAGAAACAUUCUGUUUUGGCAGCAGAAAACUCGUUGCAGCGAAAAUAAAUCUCGCUGUAGCGAGAAACUCUCGAGUUCUGAUGCAGUUCCUUCACUUUGAUGAAGAUUUUGACCACCCUCCUCUCUGAACUGGGAAACGUGGUAAACAUAAAAGUUGUAUCCCUUCCUCUUAGCUUUCUAAUGGUCAAAAAAUCAUGUAAAUUGGACUUCUGUAGAGGGAGAUAAUUCAGAAAAACUGAAACACAUGCAAACUGGUACUAUUUCUCGCUGUAGCGAGAAUGAACUUCGCUGCAGCGAGAAACAUUCUGUCCUAUAUGCUACCCUAUUCGAUUUUUGACAUAUUUUUCACCCAUUUAACUUCAUGGAUUGAUCAUGGGUUGUUGCAACACUAUGAGGUUAUUAAUCAAAGUUUGAAAUGAGGUGUUUUUAGUAAGAAAUUAAAUCAAUUGCAUUGUUUUUGAAACAAGUGCAUCAUGAUUUCCAAAUUCUUCCUAUUGAUUGCUUGUUCCCUUCUUAUGUUCACUCACUAAGUUUUAUACUCACGUUUUUAAACUUCAUGUUUUCAGAUUUGGAAGACAGUUGGGACCUAGAUUGAGUCGCACACAUAUGCUCGCCUUCUUGGUAGGUACUAUGGCAUCUCAGUAGUUGUACCCUCACCCACGGUCACUCAGCUGACGGUCAAGAGUCUUAUAUUUGUGUACAAGUAUAAGUAAUGAAGACCACUAAGAUUCAUGUUAAAAAUCAUAUAUGUAUAUUUGAUUACUAAUGCCACUAUAAGGUGGCAAAUGAGUGAUACUUUGAGAUAAUGCAAAUAUGAAUAUUCGAUUGCUAUAAAUUAUUACUGAAACAUUCAUCAUUGAGAACUAAAAUAUGUUGUUGAGAAAUUAUGGUUGGAAUUAAUGAUCAGGAUUGCAUAAAUAGGCUUACUUGGGCUUAUGGGUUAUGCCUAUUGGGCCCAUGCACCGAUCAUGGCCCGGAAUUGGGGCUGUGACAAUAUUGCACCAAACUUUUAUCAUCUUUAGGAUAUAUGAUAAGAGAAUGAAUUACAUUGUAAAACUAUACACUGAAAGGUUGUCAAAGAAUCCUUGGACUCUUCUAAUAAUUGGGUGGCCGUGAUGCAUUGCUAGAUGCCAAUCUUGAUCAAUGGAAUUAAGCCAUCAAUCAAUUUCAUUGCCAACAUGUUGGGAACCUAAUACGUCAUAAAUAGAUUGCAUUAUGAAUUAAAUUGAGAUUGUGAUGAUUAAGUUGGACACAAUCGCAUACUAGGCAUUUAUAAUUAUAAGGCCUUGAUUGCAAAAUAUAAAUAAAAUUAAUUUUGAUUUUAAUUUCCAAAGACUUAAUUAAAAAAGUUUAAUUAAGUAAUGGGUCCAAUAUUAUAAUGUGUUAUAAUAUUGAGGGCUUAAUUGUAAAAUUAAAGUUAUUUUGACCUAACUAUACAAGUCACAUUUUAACUAUUUUCUAUCUGAGAGACUUUCACAAUUGAUGAAAACCUAAUUUUGUCAGUAAAAGAAAAAAAAGAGGUUUUCUCUCUUUGCUGUCACUCCUUUUGUGUGAAAAACGAAAUUGCUUUUGAAGAAAAUUUUAAGAGAUGUUCGGGCAACUUGGGAAAAAGAAGAAAAGGACAACUGUUGUUCUCUUUGCUAUCACAAAGUAUAGUUAAAAACUCCUUCCUUGUUGAAGGUUUGUGUGCAAUCGUGUGUACAAUUGUUGGCGGUCAAGCACUUGAUUAGCUAUGGUUCUUGUUCCUUGUGGUGUUCAUGGGAUUGCUUCGAGAAUUACCAUUGUGAUUGCAAAAUGACUUGGCAAGAUAACUUUUUGACUUUUAAUUAAUUAUGGGCUUUUAUGUGCUAAAUAUCACCAAGGGGUGGAGCCAUGAUUUGGUUGUUUAAUUCAAGUUUUAAUGCUUGUUUCACUAUGCAUAUUUUGAUCAUGUCAUCCAUACACAAACCCAUCAGUAAUAUUAAAGCUUUCCUUGGUUCGAUUUUAACACAUUUUUAUGUCUAAUUGUUGUUAAUGCUUUGUUGAAAAGGAAUAUGAGCUGUUCGAGUUUUGUUCAACACAAAGUAGUAAGUUUUAUUUAUUCUAAUUAUUUUGAUUUUUGGAUAGAUUUUAAUUGCAAAUUUUAAACCUUAUUUAUCAUAAUAUUAGUCUCAUUUUAAUAUCAAAAUAUUGCAGAUUAACAAGUGCAUGAGAUGCAUAAAUUAAUUUAGCAAAUAAAGAUUCAAUCUCAUGACAUUAUGGUGUGAUUUAAAUGAUAGAAUCCGAUUUUUUUCAGCCAUGGUAUUGGUUCAUUUUCAGCCAUAAAAAUGAGGUUUAAAGGUCUUAUAAAACAUUGGAAAUUUAAGGAAUCAAUAUACUAUAAUACCCCAUACCCCACACUUUAAAAUGGUGGCUAAUGAAGCCUAUUAGAUGCCAAUUGAGGUUAAUUAAGAAUGUUUAAGAGCGAUGAUGUGAAACCUCGACCUCCAUAGACACGUAACUAGAAAUAGACGUAAUAACACGAACUAGGGGUAAUUUUGUCAUUUUCUUAGUGAGCCCCUAGAAGUGGGUUUUCUAAUAUUAUUAAGGCGUAAGUAGGCCCAAGGAAUAAAUGAAUGAUGUAUAUAAUAAUGAAAUAAGUGAAGAAAAUAGAAAUAAUGAUGAUUUUCAUAAUAGGGGCAAAAUGGUCAUUUUGCAUAUCGAGUCUAAACUUUUAAGUUUUCGUGAACUCGAGUAUUUCUAGACUAUUAUGGACCUUGUCUCAGUAUCAAAGGAGCAAAAAAUGUUGAACUAAAUGAAAGAAAGAAGGCAAAGUCAAUUAUCGAAUGGUAUUUUUGUAAAUAAAUGGAACUUCAAUCAACUUUAAGCAAAAAUAUCUAACUUCCAGCAGCUUCUUCUUCUUCUUCCCAUCCCUUCUCUCCAUUUCACGUUUUCUCAUCUCCCAUGGAAGCCUCCCUUGAAACCUUUAUAACUUUCCCUAAUUAACUCCAUUUCUUAUGCUUUUAUACACCUUAUCAUAGGGUUUUUUAUACUCUUUUACUUCUACACCUUAAGAACCCCCAAAAGUCUUUCCUUAAUACUCUCUCUCACUAGCUAGAUAUUUUAGAGAGAGAGAGAGAGAGAGAGAUUUUCCAUAAUAGCUUGAAAACUCUUGGAAAGGAAUUCAAAUUACACAUCCACCAAGGUUCCAACGAGACCCCACCUCACCCUUUGCAGCAAUAAUCGAAGUUGAAAUUGAUCAAGGAAUCAACAAAGAGGUGAGUGAACUUACAUUUCAAAAUGUUUUGGGAAGGGCAUACAUGUUUAAAUGAAUCAUUUGAAAAUUUUACUUGUUUUUGCUUUAAAAAUGCCCAGGAACAAGCCCUUGAUGAGAUGUUUUUACAUUGUGAAAUGUGCAAUGUGUCUAGCUUAUGUGUUCUAUAUUAUGUUGACAUGCAUGUUAUGCAUUGAAAGAUACUAUUGUGUGACAUUGUAACCGUGCGUGUGCAAUGUGGGAGUGCACAUGCUAGUAAUGAUGAUGAUGAUGAUGAUGAUAUUGUAGUGUGCGAUGUGAGAGUGCACACGAUGAUUCUAGCUAUGUGUGGUGUGGGAGUGCACAUGAGCUGGGUGAGGGAAAAAUUGCAUACAUGUUUGUAUAUGUUAUGGAAAGGUUAUGAAAAUAAUAUGUGAUUGUAUUGAAUGUUGCAUGUUAAAAUUGCCAAAUGCUUUCAAUUGAUUUUCAUUACAGCAAAAAUGGAUUUUCAUUGUAACUAGAAUCCUUUUAACUUAACUGCCCUGUUUCUCGCUGCAGCGAAAUUACAUCCUCGUUGCAGUGAGAAACUUUCGAGUGUUGGGGGCUUGAACUGGUCCUGGUUUUCGCAUUCUCACUACAGCGAGAAACUCUCGGAUGGUUCACUUAAUAUGUGCUUUGAAUUUCGCUGCAGUGAGAAACUCUCGAAAGAUUCAAAAAUUUCUUUGCUGGAAUUUCGCUGUAGCGAAAAUUCAUUCUUGCUGCAGUGACCUUUUCGCUAUAGCGAGAUUCACUCUGCCAUGCUUGCCUUGCUUGAGCCCUACACUCAACAAUCAAGGGUUAAAUUGAGGGGUUUUAACAAGUAAUUAAGCUAAAUUGCAUUGUUUUCAACAUAAAUGCAUCAUGUUUUCUAAAACUUUCCGUAUUACUUGCUUAUUCCCUUCCUAUGUUCACUCACUGGGUUUAUACUCACUCUUUCAACUUCAUGUUUCAAAUUUGGAGGUAGUUGGGGCCUAGGUCGAAGAGUCCAGUUGAAUUCGCCAUUUUGUAAGUACCAUGACAUCCAGUCGUAGUACCCAAGCCCAGAUUCACUUCGCUAAUAGUCAAAGGUUCUUGCGUAUGUAUAUAGUUACUUAAAUGUAAACUAUGAGAUUGUUGUGCACUCUAUAUGUUUGAUUUGAUUAAUCAUGUCGUUUAGGGUUGACAAAUGGUAACCCUAUCUUCGGAACGUUUUAUAUAUAUAUAUAUAUAUAUAUAUUUGAUUAUCACAGUAUCAUUUCAUAAGAACAAUUAUUAGAAACUUUGAGUUUUAGAUCUUAAAGAAAGAGAGGCUUGCUUGGGCUUGGUGGGCUAUGACCAUUGGGCCCUUGCGCCAAUCAUGGCCCAAAAUUUGGGCUAUGACAACGAGUUGGGGCGUUGCUAGGACUUGUACAUUCAGAUGUAUGUUAUCCUAUGAAUACUAGUGCUAGAGGAGGAUGCUCCUACUUCAUCAUUUUCAUAGAUGACCAUUCUUGCUAUGGUUAUGUGUAUUUGAUGAGAUAUACAUAUGAAUCCUUUAAAAAGUUCAAAGAAUACAAAGUAGAGGUUAAGAAACAAAUUGGGAAGAGCAUUCUCACUCUUAGAUCUGAUCAAGGAAAAGAAUAUCUUAGCCAAGAGUUUCAAGAUUAUCUAAAAAAGAAUGGGGUUUUUGCACAAUGGACUCCUCCAAGGACUCCUGAGCACAAUGGGUGUCUGAAAGAAGGAAUUGAACAUUGUUGGUGUCACAUCCCAUUUUAUGGAGGGAUCAUGAUCGGUGCAUUGACCAACAUAGGUAUAGCCCACUAGGCCCAAGCAAGCCUCUCAACCUCAAUCAAUCUUCAAUCACAUAUAUGCAUAAAUAAAUGUAAAUAUAAACAUCCAUGCAUAAAUGUAAGUACACGAUUAUGGACUUCUUAAAAUAAAAGGUGUGCACGCUUCAUUCAUAUAAUAUGUACCCAGUACAUUCAAUAUAGAAACUAUAAAGUUAUCCCAGAUGCUCAUAUAGGCUCGCAGGCUGUUAUUCAUAACAUUCGCAUAAUCUCAUGAAAAUAAACUUUCAUUCCAUGGCCCACCAUUCAUAAUAUUUUUAUAGCAACAUAAAAGCAACUUGCCACUUAAUGGCUUAACCUUUGAGUGCAAUAGUUAUUUAAAAACAAAAUAAAUACGGACUCGUCAGUGAAACAUGACAUGACCUCUAGGCUGCAAGGGCUGCUAGAUCACAAUCGAAAGAGGAACGGAUCACAUCUUUGUGACAUUAGCUGUUAUCAUGAGUGCCAUCACUGAUCUACAAGAAAAAUAAAUGGGAAAAAAUAGCGUGAGUCACAAAAACUCCGUGAAUGGAUACGAGAAUAGGACCAACCAGGGGAUAAGAGUGUUUCGUAAACAUGCAAUAUUAAACACAUAUAAGUGAUAAUCUUUCUUCAUUUCUAGAAAAAUCAUGAAGCAUUUUGAAUAAACAUCAUUCAUGCAAUAAUGCAUGGAAAUCAACUUAGUAUAAACCUUUGGAAUUCUUUUAUCUUUGAAAUUUUCAUUAAAAUUCACUAAGGCAACCUUUUUGCAAUGAAUCUAUCAAUACAUUCUCGAAUGUAUCGAUACUUUCAAGAAUCUAUCGAUACAUUUGUGAAGUGCAUCGAUACAUUUCACAUAGAAAGCCUCUUGAAGCAUUAUAUUUAGAAUCUAUCAAUACAUAUUCCAUAUGUAUCAAUACUUUGAGCAUAAAACCCAAUUUUUUAGGUAAAAUUUAGCAUUUUUGCCAUUCUGUAAGUUCAUUUAUCUCUUGGGACUAUCCCUAAGGCUCAAAUCAUUCCCCAAGCAUGUUCUCGUAUGGACAUGGAGUAUAAAUCAUAAAUAAUGCUCAAAUGAACUUAGCAUACAACAUAUCAAAAACAUAACAAUUAUAAUCAUUCCAUUAACAUUAAACUCAUAGAUUGUGAUGGUUUGACCCCCAUCAACCUUGGGCCAGCAAUGUAAAUCUCCAUUGCACUUUAGGUGUUUAUGAUGCAUCAUAGGAGUAAUGUCAUCACUUGCACCCAGUGAGAGUGGAAUCAAUCACACUCAUUGAGUUCUUAUACUUAUAGCGUUUGGUAUGUGGAAUAUCCAUUACGUAUAUGCUUACUCAUCUCAUAAGGUAUAUGAAAUUUUACAACAUAUACGCACCUCAUGGCAUUCCUCACUCUUACUCAAUUGUCUCAUGUAAUAUGUGAAACAUACAUAAUAUACAUAAUCUCAUGGCAUUUAUCAUGCUUCCUCAUUCAUCUUAUGCAGCAUAUGGAAUAUACAUCAUAUACAUAAACGUAUCAAUCUUAGAUGGAAUAAAACAUUAUGCAAUCCAUCAUGCAUCCCAUGCUUAAACAUAACAAGCUUUUACAUCAUAAUGUUCAUACAUAAAUAUAAAUAAUUUCUCAUACCCACACUAGUCCGAAGAUCGAAGUAAUUGAGUGUUAUAAACAAUAAGGUGUAUGUCCCUCUUUGUUGAAAACUAAUACAUAACAUAUUUAUAUAUAGUAGAUUGAAAACCCUUUUCAAAAUGUUUUUCAGAUCCACAAUCUCAUUUUUCAUUUCACAAAUAUUUGCAAAAAAUCAUAUUUGUUAAUCAACCUUAAAUCAUGCUUCAACUUUACAUAUCAACUACCACAAAACCAAAUCAAGGGUUGGACCAUGUUAACUACCAAACAAAGUCAUAUUAAAGGGGUAGGACCAUGUUAACUACCAAACAAAGUCAUAUUAAAGGGGUAGGACCAUGUCAACUACCAACGAAACCAAAUCAAGGGAUAGGACCAUGCAUUACCUAGUCAAGCUAAGCAUUGUGCAUAAUGGCUAGUGUCUACUAUCACUAGCUACAAGUCCAUAACUCAAGUAAGCUCCAUUGAACAUUUUUAUGUUAUGAUUCCAAAUAUCCAAACAUUCAUUUACAAAUGAAUAGAUAAAUCCAGUUGCCAUCCAAGAAAAAAGAUUCAAAUAAAAUAAAUGCAAGUGUACAAGGUUCAUCUCAAGCAAGUAUAUUGUCGAUCAUCAACUAGUCUUACACAAACAUAGAUUUUCUUAGAGGUAUCAAGCACUUGAAGGGCUUGUUCCCUAAGCUCAAAACUAAAUACAUAAUAACAUAUUUACAUACCAUAUCUAGCUUUCUUAAAACAAGUUUGAAACCUUUUUUUCACAUCACAAAGUUCACCAAAUACGUUUUUAUGCGACGUUGUAGAAUAGGCAUGCUUAAUUAUACUAAAAUAAUUAAAGGCACCGCAUCUACCCACCUCUUAAAGCGUACUUUUUCUUUUGGGUACCUUUCAUCGAAAGCUUAGCUUCUAUAACAAGCUCAAAUUACUCCAAUAGUACUUAAAAAUGAUAUUUGAUCAUCAAUACUCUCAAUGCCCCAAUAAAAUGGUAUUUAAUCAUCAAUAUUCUUAAACACCCCUACUAAUUUUAGAAUACUUCAAAUAGUAACUUUUAACCCUAUUUAAUUUUCACUUAUGUCCAAUUAUUUCCACCAAACUUUCUUCUAGACCUCAUACCCAUUAAGUAAACAACUUAUUUUACCUAUUUUUCUCCCUGGUGAGCUUCUAGUUGAGAGAUCUAGCCAAAUAUUUAAAAUAAAAAAAAAUUUCAAGCUUUUAGAGAAAAACAUAAAAUCCAUCAAAAUAAAGCUUUUUGGGAGUGAAAAUCCUUACCUCUAGCCCUUAGAAUCCAAUAUUUGUUGAUGGAGUUUGAAGGUUUUGAAAGGUAAGAAAUUUGAGAGACAAUGGGUUAGAGAACAUAGGAAAAUCUGAGAAAUGAAGUAAGUUUCGGUUCCAAGGCUUUUAAACCCCGUUUUAAGCUGACGGGGCAACUUAUGUUUGACUAUGGAGAGGCUAUAGUUGAUCUUGGACUAGUAGGUUUGAUAUUCUAUCCAUUUCCCUGUCACAAGAUCGGCUCCAUAGAAGGUUUAUUAUUGAUCCUGGACCGAAAUAUCCAUUUUUGCUUAAUUUUCCUUCAUAAGAUUGACUAUAAGAGGUCCAUAAUCGAUCAUGGACUAGUAGGUUGGCAUUUCCUCCAUUUUUCCAUCCUAAGAUAGACUAUAAAGGGUUUAUAGUCAAUCCUUGGCUAGAACCCUUAACUCCUCCUACUUUUUACUUCACAAGAUCGACCCUUUACGCAUUGAGAUCGACUUCCAAAGUCCAAACUUGUGAAAAUUGUUUCUUUUAAGGUCGAAUCUCAUUCUAAAUCUCUCCCACAACCAUUAUGACCUUUAUUUAUAAAUUUUUCAAGGAUGAAAUUGAGUUUUUAGUCAAUAAAAGUAUUUCUUAACCUCACCAAGUUAAUUGUCCACGUGACAAAAUUUAUGGGUUUCACAAACUCCACCCAUUGACGUUGCCUAAGGUUGACAUCUCUGCGCUCAAAGAUAUACUUAAGGCUUUUGUGAUCUGUAUAUAUCUCACAUGUCUCACCAUAUAAGUAAUGUCUAUUUCUUCAAGGUAAAUAAUAUAGUAGCCAUAUCUAAAUCAUGAAUGGGGUAAUUUUGCUCAUGCCUCUUGAGCUGCCUCGAUGCAUACGUAAUCACGCUGCCAUGUUGCAUCAACACACAUCCAAGUCCUACUCGUGAUGCAUCGUAAUAAACCAUGUAACCCCUAGAACGAUAAGGUAAACUUAAUAUUGGAGUUGUGGUGAGACAUGUCUUGAGCUUCCCAAAGCUCUCCUCACACAUGUCUAUCCAUAUAAACUUAGCACUCUUUCAUGUUAACCUAGUCAUGGGAGUUGUGAUCUUGGAGAAGUCCUUAACAAAUCUCUUAUAAUAUCUAGUAAUUCUUAGCAAACUCUGAAUCUCAAUGAUUGAAGUAAGCCUUGGCCAUUUUUUCACAACCUCAAUCUUCUUUAGGUCCGCCAUUACACUAUCCUUAGAUACUAUGUGGCUUAUGAAGCUAACACUAUCAAACUAAAACUCGCACUUAGAGAACUUGGCUUACAACACAUGCUCUCUCAAAGUUUAGAACGUUAUCUUCAAAUGCUACUUAUGCUUAUCUCUACUUCUCAAGUAUACUAAUAUAUCAUCAAUAAAAACCACCAUAAACUUAUCCAUAUAUGGCUUGAAUACUUAAUUCAUCAUUGUCCAUAAAAGCGGUUAGGGUAUUCUUAGGCCCAAAUGACAUCACUAGAAACUCAUAAUGCCUGUACCUAGUACGAAAGGUGGUCCAAGGCACAACCUUUUGCCUAAUCCUCAAUUGAUGGUAGCCUGACCUCAAGUCAAUCUUGGAAAAGCAUUUUGCUCCUUGGAGCUGAUCAAACAAGUCAUCAAUGCUUAGUCAAGGACAUUUAUUCUUCAUUGUUCCUUUGUUCAAUUCCUAUAAUCUAUUCACAAUCUUAUUGACCCAUCUUUCUUUUCACGAAUAACAUCAGUGCACCCCAUGGUGACACGCUAGGAUGAAUGAAGCCUUUGUCUAAUAAGUCGUCUAGGUGAUCCUUGAGCUCUCUAAGCUCUACUGGUGCCAUCCAGUACAAUGGUAUAGGUAUUUGACCCGUACCCUAUACCAAGUCAAUGUAAAACUCUAUAUCUCUAUCUAGAGGUAAACUUGGCAACUCCUCGAGAAACACAUCGAUGAAAUCUCUCACAACUAGCACGUCAACAAUAUCGCCCACCACCAUUUGGGUGUCCUUAACUAGAGCCAAGAACCCUUGACAUUCAUGACUGAUCAACCUCAUAGCAUUCAUGGCUAAAACUAUGCUACUCAACAUCACUCAAUGGUCCCCUUAAAUGCUAAGAGUUCAUCUCUUGGAUAGUUAAAAUGUACCACCUUGUAAAGGCAAUUACGCUCGCAUAAUUGGGUGAUAACUAAUCCAUACCCAAUAUCACGUUGAACUUCAACAUAUCCAAUAAUAACAAAUUUGCCAAGGUGUCUUUACUUCAACCUAGACCACUCAACCUCUAUACUCAUAACUUGCUACGAACACCUCUCUCAAGGGUGUGGUAACAACCAAAUUUUGCUCCUUCUUGGAGCGCUCUACACCUUAUCUAGAUGCAAAGUAUAGGAUAAUAAAAGAAUGCAUAGCACCAAGGUCAUACAAUGCACAUGCAUUAAUAGAACAAAUAGGUAGAAUACUUAUAACAACUGCAUUUGAUGUCUUUACAUCAUGGGGAGUCAAGGGAUAAACUUUAGCCUGUCCACAACCAACAAUACUCUAUGUACCAAAUCUAGUCCUUGGAGCUUUACCUUAAGUGGCCGUACCAAUACCUUUGCCUCUUCCUUUUUUAGUGCCUCUAAUAAGCUGUAUAAUAAUAUGUAGGGAUGGUAAAGCUAGCUAAGUGUGUCCUUGAGUAACUUCUUGAGAUGAAUGGCUCAAAAGAGACUUUUUAGCAUAGUGCCCAAAUUAUCCACAAGUAUAACAUGAAGUCAAAUCCCUCAUGCACUACUCUCUGUGCUUUUUACCAUAAGUGGAACAUAGAGGAAAAGAAGGAAAAUUCUGUCUAGCACCUCAUUAUUUGUGGUGGAGUUGCUCUAUGAUCUCUGCUAAUUCCCUUUCCUUUAGUAGAUUUCCCCUGAUGGUAUCCCUAAGAACCUCUUUAUUGGCCUUAUCAACCUGAUGUAUCUCUAUGGCCUUGACGACCUCUAGUCUUGGCCUUUUUUGGCCUAGGUCUAUAUGAUCGACCAUCCAUUUUUUAAGCUCUAACCUUUGAGCGUGAUUCACUGCUUUAAAGUAGCUAGUAAACUCAUGCAACGUUACCAUCUUAUACGAUGGAUGUAACAAUCCGUUCAUAAACCUUUAGGUCUGCAUCUUCUCCGUAACUGUCAAAUAUGGAGCAUACCUAGCCAUCUCAGUGAACUUGACACUGUACUCUACCACAAAUAUGCCUGAUGUCUGCCCUAAAGUCUCAAACUCGCAUGCUCUAGCCUUUUGCACCCUAUUUAACAAGAAAUGCUCCAAAAAUGCUUUGCUAAACUCCUUCAAAGUCAUUAUAGCAGUAUUAGGUGCCUUAUCAUUGCGCAACAUCUCAUACCAUUGUCGGGCUAUCUUCUCAAGUUGGAAGAUGGAAAAAUGAAAUGAUUUAGUGCUGGUGUAACUCAAAGCAUUACACAUCACCAAUAUCUCAUCCAAGAUGUUUUGAGCAUCCUCUAUUACAUCAGAUCUAAAAAAUCGUGGAGGUCUCAACCUCAUAAACUCUAAUAAUAGAACCUUAGUUACAACCUUGGCUAUCCUAAACUGCUGAUGGUCAUCAUGACUUUGUGACCCAAAGGACGCUUGAACAGUAAGGUGGCCUUUACCCUAUAUUCUCUAAUCUAAUAUCUCCAAAGUUAGUAACUCUAUAGUCUGACAGAUUCCUUGUAAGCUGGUGGCUAAAUCUUCUAAGGUCACUACCCUCGUUGGGGGCGUUAUACCCUUAGGAGCUUGUCUCUCCACCUCAUUUCGAGACCUUGUCUUUCUGUUUGUGCAUUAGUUGGGGUAUUUGUCCUCCCUGAGCUAGCGACCCUGCCAUGUCUACCAUGGCCUCUAGCAGUAGGCAUACAUGGUCUAUUAGUAGUCUCAGAGGGAGCCUUGUGCUUUGCCGUGCCUCUAGUAUUAGCUCAUGUCCUAGACGGCAUGUCCCACCUAGACAAGAGCAACGUAUGUUGUAAAACUCAACACUAUAGGCUUAUGACAAUACUAGGCAUAUCUCUUAAAUAUAAAAGGGUUAAACAGACAAGGAAUUAUAUAUGGGUCUCUCGUUUUUGACUUGUGCUUAAGUACACAAAACAAAAACAAGAUUCUUGCAUAUAACUCCAAACAUUUUGCUGACAACUAAAGAUAUCUUAGGACUCUAUGAACUUAAAGCUCUGAUACCAACUUUGUCACAUCUCAUUUUCUAAAGAAAUCGUGAUUGGUGCAUGGACCUAGAUGGGUAUGGCCCGCUAGGCCCAAGCAAGCCUUUCAAACUCAAGUAAUCAUCAAUCACAUAUAAGCAUCAAUAAAUGUAAAUAUAAACAUCUAUGCAUUAACGUAAGUGUGUGAUUAUGGACUUCUCAACAUAAAAGGUGUACACAUUUUAUUCAUAUAAUAUGUACCUAGUACAUUAUAUAUAGUAACUGUAAAGGCAUCCCAAAUGCUCAUAUAGGCUCGCCGGCCGUCAUUCAUAACAUUCACAUAAUCUCAUUAAAAUAAACUGUCAUUCCAUGGCCUAAAAUUCAUAAUAUUUUUAUAGUAACAUAAAAGUAACUUGUCACUUAAUGGCUUCACAUUUUAGUGCAAUAGUUAGUUACAAACAAAAUAAAGAUCGACUUGUCGAUGAAACAUGACAUGACCUUUAGGCUGUAAGGGCUGCUGAUCACCUACCAAAAGAUGAACGGAUCGUGUCUCGUGACUAACUACUAUCAAGAGUGCUAUCACUAAUCUGCAAUAAAAAUAAAUAGGGAAACUAACGCGUGAGUCAUAAAGACUCUGUGAGUGGGUAAGUGUGAGACCUUGACCUUUAUAGACUCGUAGAUAAAAAUAUACGUGAUAUCCUUAAUCAGGGGUAAUUUCAUCAUUUUCUCAAUAAGCCCAUAAAAGUAAGUUUUAAACAAUAUUAUGUCCUAAGUAGGCCUAAAGCAUAAAUGAAUGAUGAAAAUAUGGGUGAAAUGACAAGGAAAUAAAAAUUUUGAUGAUUUUCAUGGUAAGGGCAAAAUGGUCAUUUUUCACCUCGGGUUAGAAUUUUUAAGUUUUCAAGAACCCGAGCAUGUCUAGACCAUUAUGGACCUGGUCUUAGUGUCAAAAGAGUAAAAAGAAUGCAUAAAAGAUUGGAGGAGAAUAAGCUAAUUUGUGGAAGGGCAUUGUAGUAAUUUCUAAGGGAGUGGAUAAGCUUGGGCCAUAAAUAUCCUCUCUUUCUAGCAACUUCUUGGGAUUUCUAGCAGCUUCUUCUUCUUGUUCUCUUCCCUCUCACGUUUCUUCAAUUCCUCCAUGGAAGCUUGAUGUGAAGCUUUCAAAACUUUCUCUCUCUAGCUCUAAUUUUCAUACCUUGGUGCCCUUUUGACUAGAACCCUUGUAUUCUUCCACUCUCUCACUUUAAAACCCUUGAAAAUGAUGAAAAUCUUGUUUCCAUACUCUCUCACUAGUUAGGUGUUUUAGAGAGGAAAGACGAAUCUUUAUUAAUAGCUUGAAAGCUUUUGGAAAGAAGUUCAAAGUUACAAAGCUAUCAAGGUGAGUAGUAAACUAGUAUUGGGUUUUAAGUGUUGAGAAUGACUAGAGAGUUGAUUUGUGAAUAUUUUGUAGUUAAGAUUGUUAAUUCACUUUGGAAUGAUAGGAAAGUGAAAAGGGAUGGCCAUUUAAAUGGCAAUUGAAAGCUAGCUGAAAGAUAGCUUUUAGGAUUUAUAGUAUGUAAAUUGACAUUAUGGUAAUGUUAAUUUGAUGGUAGGUGUUAACAAAGCCCCAUCACCCCAAUUAGAUCAUUAGAGGAAUUAAGAGUUGGCUAAAGGCUCAAUGAAUACCGGUGAGUGGACUUGCAUUUCAAACUUGUUUUGGGGAAUAUGAAAGAUUCUAUCCAACUUGUCUUAGAAAAUGUACCUUGUCUUAGAAAAUGUACCUUGGGAACAAGCUUUUAGUAAAAUGAUUUUAUAUUGUGAAAAUAUGCUAUACAAUGGUUUAUGUGUUAUCACAAUAUGAUAAUAUGCAUGAUAUGCAUUGGAUGCUUCUUUGCAUGUUGAUGUGGACCAAGCUAUGUGCGAGUAGGAGCGCACAUAAGCCAUUGCUGACCCGGCUAUGUACGAGUAGGAGUGCACAUAAGCCGUUGCUGACCCGACUAUGUGUGAGUGGGAGUGCUCAUAAGCCGUUGCAUAUGAGAUGAUGAUGAUGGGAGGGUGUACAUGAUGAUUGAUAUAUAUAUAUAUAUAUAUAUAUANNNNNNNNNNNNNNNNNUAGGUAGGUAGUAGAGUUAGAUAGUAUAUAUAUAUAUAUAUAUAUAUAUAUAUAUAUAUAUAUAUAUAUAUACAUAUAUGGUAUAUGGUUGUAAAUGCAAAUAUGUGAACAUUUGAUUUGUCGAAAUUUGAGAGUUUACAUGUGUUACAUGUUGCUAUUAUUAUUUUAGCAGGAUGGCUUGUUUUAAGGGAAAAUGAGAUUUUUUCCUUGAUGUUCUGAUUCUCCCUGCAGCGAGAAACUCUCUGGUUUGGAAAUGUGGUGCUGGCUGGGAAUCUCGCUGCAGCGAACAUGUUACUGUAGCUUCUCGUUGCAGCGAGAAUGAAACUCGCUGCAGUGAGAAACUCUCGGGUUUGAGGGCUUUCACCAGACCUGGUUCUCGUUGCAGCGAGAAACUUUCUAUCCAUUUUGGCUAACUUGCGGGUUUUGCUAUAUUUUCUGAUUAUUUGGUACCAUAGUUGAGUAUGGAUCUUUUAAGUGAUUUACUCAUGAGGGGUUUACAUGAGAGGUUCUACUAAGAACUAGAACAAAUUGCAUUAUUUUGAGAAAAUGAGUGCAUCAUGAUUUCGAUAGAUCACACUUAAUGAGCUUCAGAUAUUAAUUAGCUCAAUAUCAUUUUUAAGUGUCCUUAAUUCUCCAAGGCAUCAAAUACACAAAAUUCUCUGGGAGGUUAAUUGUUUUAAGUAAACUACUCCUAGAUAUUCAUCACAUUCACUAGACCUCCUAGUUUAAGGUCAAACAUAUGCCACUAUGUGGCUUACAUUAAGGCACACAUGCACAUCAUAUAUAACAUAUAUAAUUUAUUAGCCUAAGCACAUCCAUUUUGGCAUUUACAAAUUAUAUAUAUAACAUUCAUGUUCCAUGGCAAUGCAUUGUUCAAUGCUUGAUGCAUUACAUGCAUUUUAUUCAAACAAAUAUCCCACUCACAAUGACAAUCGAAGGCACUCUUCACAACCAAGCUCAACUUCUAGCCUUCAAUUCUUUUCUAGCUCACAAAUGCCUUAGUAGCUUUAUUUUUCCCUUGAACAAAUCAAAAUAAUAAUUAAUUCCCAGCUUUCAAAUGUUUCCAACAUUUUCAAAAUAGGCUUUAUUCCAACUACUCAUACUUAUAAAACCUAAGUUUCAAAUCUUAAGUUCAAAAAGCUUAAAUCCUCAACUUAGAUUCUGGGUUGCCCAAAUCUAAACUCCAAAUCUCCAACAAAAUCAAGGGGGGAGAAUUACCAAAGUUGGAAAAAAAUGGGUUUCAAUGUUAUAAAUUGAUUAAAUCAAAAUCAAUUGAUAAAAUGCUUAAUCUUACCUCUAGAGUAGUUUCCCAAGCUCCAAUCUGCCUUAAUCAAGCCUAAAAAUCAAGUUAGGGCUAAGGGUUUUUGGUGGGUAGAGAAGGAAAAAGUUUUGCUUUUGUUUUAAAAUGGGCGAAAUACCUUAGGCCUUUUUUAUUUUUUCAAAUAUCUAGGGAUGUAUCGAUACAUUUGUGAACAUAUCGAUACAUUUGCACGAAUUCCCCUCAAAUCUAUCGAUACAUGAGGCAAAAUAUUGAUAGAUUUGAAACAGAAUGCUCUCUACUUGAAAUCUAUUGAUAGAUUUGGAAAUCUAUCAAUACUUUUCCCACAAAAUGUCCCCUACUAUGAAUCUAUUGAUACAUAUAGACAAUGUACCGAUAGAUGUUCAUCCUAGUUCAAAUUUAUCGAUACAUUCUUGAAUGUAUUGAUAAAAUAUUCCCAGAUUGCCUCAUAUUGUUCUUCUUGCCAAUAAUGUAUUUAUACAUUUUCCCUUGUAUGAACAUUUUUAACACUCAAACUUCCCAAAAUCUGAGUUUUAACACCUAAAAAUCAUUUCCUGUUUAAAUCACACCUCAAACAAUUAUUACAACUCUUAAUUCUCAUACAUAUAUCCUCAAAUACCAUAUCAAAGUUUAAUUUAACUUCAAACUUUAAGAUUCAUCAAUUAUUUCUGUAGAAAUUGCCUAAGUGUCAUAGCAUAGGCUUCAUACACUUAACAUAUUCAACAUAUCAUCAAAGGUCCUCGAAGACACAAUAAGUUUCAAAAUCAUUCUCCAUACACUUAGGUAUAUUCUUAAAUCUUUAAACACAUGCAUAAAAAAUUCAAUCAAAUUCCUUAAUUGGCUUAGUUCAUACCACAUAGUUCUCAUAAAAAUUGAAGGUGUUAAAUUCUCCCCUCCUUAUAAAAAUUGAUCUUGAAAUUUAAAUCACAUAUCACAAACUAAAACAUAUUUUUAAAACUCAAAGAGAUGGGGAUAUUUUGCUCACAUUUCCUCUUCAAGUUCCCAUGUUGCUUCCUCAACUGAAUGACUUUGCCAUAAUACUUUCACGAUAGGAAUGUCUUUAGAGCGAAGCUAUUUUACUGGCCGAUCUAAUAUGGCUACAAGCUGCACCUUAUAAAUAAGUCUAUUUUUUAAUUGGACCUCAUCAUACUGAAUCACAUGCGAAGGAUCAAGAUCAUAUCUCCUAAGCAUGGAUACAUGGAAAAUUGGAUGAACAUCGGAUGAAUUAGGUGGUGAAGCCAAGUGAUAAGCAACUACGCCUAGGCACUUUAGCACCUCAAAAGGCCUGAUGUAUCUAGGACUCAAUUUCCCUUUCUUUUAGAACCUUCUAAUUCCUUUGGUCGGUGAAAUUUUUAGAAACACAUAAUCGUUGACUUCAAAUUCCAAAGGUUUUCGCCUAUUAUCGACGUAGGAUUUUUGGAGACUGUGAACCGUUAACAUUCUUUCUCGAAUUACAUGGAUGCUUAGCUCUUAAGGUCAGAGAUGCCUAGCUCAACUUCUCAAACCAUCUUCGACCUUAAGAGUUUUUGUUCUCCAACUUCAAGCAAUCCAAUAGGCAAUCUACAUCUUUGACCAUAAAAAGCUUCAUACAGUGCCAUUCCGAUAGUGGCUUGAUAGUUGUUGUUAUAAGCAAACUCGACCAAAGGAAAAUAAUGAUUCCAUGAGACUCUAAAGUCAAGCACAAUUGCUCUCAACAUAUUCUUGAGCGUUUAAAUGGUGUUCUCGCAUUUGUCGUCCAUUAGUGGGUGAAAAACCGUAUUGAAAUCUAAUCUUAAGCCUAAGGCUUCUUACAAUUUUCUCCAAAACUAACUAGUGAACUACAAUCCUCUAUUGAACACUAUUGUUUCCAAAAUACUAUGUAGCCUCAUAAUCUCAUUAAUAAAAAUUUAGGCAGACUGAGCUACUCCAUACUUAGUCUUGACUAGCAAAAAGUGAACUGACUUAGUUAGCCAAUCAAUUAUCACCCAAAUUGCAUCAUAGCCACCCCUAGCUCAUGGUAAACCUAUCACAAAGUCCAUUGUUACAUGUUUCCACUUUCACUCAAGUAUCGGUAAUAGUUGUUGUAGUCUAGAAGGUCUUUGAUGUUCAGCUUUUACUUGUUGACAAAUCAAUCACUUAGAGAUAUAUUCAGGCAUAUCUCUCUUUAAUCCUAGUCACCAAUAAAUAGACUGUAAAUCAUGAUACAUCUUAGUGGUUCCAAACUGUAUCGCACAGGCUGUAACAUGAGCCUUUUCUAAUAUCUCACUUCUUGAACCAUCCAAAUUUGACACAAAAACUCGUGAUUGAUAUUUAAGUAAACCAUCAGUGCCGUAAACAAAGUCUCAAGCUUUAUAUUCGCUCAUGUCUCCAGAUAUUUUCACCCAAAAUUCAUCAUGAUAUUGGGCAUCCUCAAUUCGAUGUAAUAUCAUCAAUCGAACUUUGAAAUGCGCCAAUAAGGCAUUUAAAUUAUUAACCUCAAAAUGUACUUCCAUAUUGCCCAAGUCAAAUAGACUUUGCACUAAAGAUCGCCUCUCUAUUGUCACAUGUGCUAAACUCCCCAUUGAUUUCCAACUUAAGGCAUUCACCACCACAUUUGCCUUGUCAGGAUGGUUGAGUAUAGUGCAAUCAUAGUCUUUCAAUAAUUCCAACCACCUACACUAUCUCAAAUUCCAAUCUAUCUACUGAAAUAUAUACUUUAAACUUUUGUGAUCCGUAUACAUUUCGCAAGUUUCACCAUAGAGAUAAUGGCACCAUAUUUUCAAAAUGAAUAUAAUCACUGCCAUCUUCAGAUCAUGUGUAGGGUAGUUCUAUUUCUGCCUUUUUAGUUGUCAGAAAGCUUAUGCUAUAAUUCUCCUGUGUUGCAUCAACACACAACCCAAUCCAAUCCAUGAUGCAUCGCAAUACAUGAGAUAGCCUCUAGAUCCACAUGAUAGGCUCAACACAGGUGUAGAAGUGAAACAAGCUUCAAGUCUCGAAAAACUAGCCUUACACGCAUCAAACCAGUUAAAUCUAACCCUUUUUUAACUCAAUCUUGUCAAAGGGUGUGCAAUCUUAGAAAAGUCUUGUACAAACUUCUAUAAUACCUAGCUAAACCUAGAAAACUUCUAACUUUUGUUGUAGAAGUUAGCCUUAGCCAAUUCUCCACAUCCUUUAUCUUUUUAAGCUUAACUUGUACCCUUUGUUCAGACACCACGUGUCCCAAGAAACUGACUUUGUUUAGCCAAAAUUCACACUUUAAAAACUUAGCAUAUAAUUUGUGCUCCUUUAGUGUUUAGAGCAUGAUUCUUAAGUGCUGCAUGUGUCCUGCCAAGCUCUUAGGAUACACUAAUAUGUCGUCUAUAAAUACAACCACAAAUCUAUCCAAAUACGCUUAAAAUACUCUAUUCAUUAAGUCCAUAAAGGCUGUAGGGGCGUUAGUGAGUCUGAAUGACAACACUAGAAACUCAUAAUGUCCAUUGUAUUUGAAAGUAUCGUAAAUCUCCAGAAAAUUCACCAAAUGAGAAUUAGGAUUAUUACUAGGUAACCCAUUAAACUAGAUUGAAGACUGAAUCAUCUAAAUGUAAGCUGGUUUAAUAUUGAAAUUAUUUGCAUUGGUGGAAGGCUCCUAAUGCUUUAGUGCAAACCUUGCAAAGGAGGAACAACAUAAUCCCGCAAUGCUCUAUUUUUUUCAAAGACCAAAUUAAUGGCAUUAUUGCCAUUGUUGUUGUUAUCUUCAACCAUUGUUUGAUUUAAAGUUGCAACUUGCAAAUUCUCCCUUCGACGUCUUCUGAAAGUUCUUUCUGUCUCAAGAUCAAAAGAAACAAGAUUCAGGUUGUUUCUUCUUUGCAUACAAUGACCAAAGAAAUCUGCAAACAAACAAAAACUAAUAUUAAAACAAGAACAAUAAAAUUUGAAGUAAGACAAAACUGCUCGAUAUUAGUAUUAGUAAAAAUUCUAGAACCAAUUCCUUGGCAACGGUGCCAAAAACUUGUGAGUUAAAAUUCUACUAUGCAAGUAUAUGUAUCAAAUAGAUAGUAUACAAGCAAGCAGAGUAUCGAUCCUAUAGAGAAUUGAUAUAAAAUGUUACUAAGUACUAAAAUUAUAACAAUUUAAUCUUAUCCAAACAAUAAAAAUUAAUUAAUUAACUAAACCUAAUUAACCAAAAUUUAAACUAAAAUGAAAAAUCAAAGUAAUAUUAACUUGAGUAAAGAUCAAAUCAAACAAGCUUAGGAUUACUAUAUCCCUCACACUUCAUAUAAAUCUUAACUCUCUUCCUUAACUGUGAAAUCCCACCUUGAGUAAGAUGAUAAGUUAGUAAAUCCUUAGGUGAGCAUAUAGAUUACAUGUUUGGAAUAUCAAACUUAGAUUGAACCUUCAAAAGAGUUAUUGACACUUUUUGUUGUCUAUAACUUUUGAAGCAUAAAAUUUUCUAUGUUUGGAAGGGGUCAAAAUAUGUGAUUUUUAUAAAACAAUCUUUUGGAAAUAAAAAAUGGUUGUAAUGAUUCUUUUCAUUUUUAUAUGAUCAAAACUGAUUUUUCCUUAAUUUUUGGAGCACGUUUGUUAGGGUAAAUGGAAACCUUAAAUUUAAUUUCAAUCAAACUUUUUUUAUUUUGUUCUUGAAAGCAAAAUUUAGAUUUUGGUUAUCUUGGAUUUUGAUUUUUUUGAUAUUUUUAUUGAAUCCAAAAGUUUGCUUAUUUACAUUAAAUAACUUAAGUAAAUGGAAAGUAAAAAGUAAAGAGAACAUUUACUUAAAUGGUAUUUAAUAUAAACAAGUUGGACAAAUUUUAUAGGCAAUCUGUCUCAGAAAAAUUACAUUCUAUCUCAAAUGUAUCGAUAUAUGUUCAUGAUGUAUUGAUACAUUUAGCCUAGAAAGUGUUUUCUGAUGAACAUGUAUCAAUAUAUGUUCAUAAUGUAUUGAUACAUUUUCCCCAUAACCAAAUGUAUCGAUACAUGGGCCAAUGUAUCGAUACAUUUCAUCGAUUUCAAACAAUAAAAGAGGUAAAAAGGUAUUCUCACACCCUAACUUAUAAAUAUAUCACAUUUUUCAAGGGUUGGCAACCCUCAGCCGCAUUUACAAGGUAAAACACCUAUUCUUAAGCUCUUUCAACAAAUUUUAACCCAAAAUUCCAUUUUUAUGAUUCUAAAGCUUAGAUUUGGGUUUUUAUGGAAAAAGAUUACAUUUUUAGCUUUUAAAUCUUUUAGCUUCAGAUUUUCAUAACUUAAAUAGUUGUGUUAUUGCCCAAACUUUCUGCUAGUGAUUUAAGUUUAAAAGUUUUAUGAUUUGCUUAAGCAUCUAAGCUCACCUAAGGUAAGGAUGAAAGAUUUAUGGGUUUCUAAGCAUGGGUUUUUGCUAGAAAAUUAGUUUAGCCAAAGUCGAGUACUUUCAAAAGUACCUAAAAGAUUAUUACAAAAUUCUUAUUCUAGGAAAUGAUUGUGAUAAUUGUUGUAUGAUAGGAACACUAGAAAACUCCACGGAUAACGACGAAAAUGAGUUGUGAUUGGAGCUAGGAAUUGACUCUCUAAUUAGGUGAAUGGAUACACCACUUUCGAAUUAUUUUGAUAUGUAAAGCUAGCAUGACUUUGAUGAAAACGAUUAUUUAUGGAUGUUGAAUUUAUUCUCUAAAAUUGGUUAUCAAAGGAUUUGAGAUUCUAGAAUGAAAAUGAUUUUCUAAGGAAAUAAUUGAUAAUGAUUGUGAUGUGAAUUACUCAAUCAAUUUUCUAAAAUGUUUAUGAAUCUACUAUAUAUGUAAAUACUUUACUAUGUAUUAGUAUUCAACAAGAGGGACAAGCAUCUUAUGUUUGAAGUCCACUCGAUUACUCCAAUCUUUGAACUAGUGUGGGUAUGAGAUAUUGUAUGCUUAUUUAUAAAUGCUAUAAUAUGCAUGUUGGUAUGAUGAAUGCCAUAAGAUUAUGUAUAUGAUGUAAAUUCCAUAUACCAUAUGAGAUGAUCAAGUAUGCAUGAUGUAUACUAUAGGAUGAUGUAUAUGAUGUAAAUUCCAUAUACCAUAUGAGGUGAUUAAGUAUACAUGAUUAAUGCCAUGAGAAUAUGUAUAUGAAAGACAUUCCACAUACCACAUGCUACAAGUAUAAGAACUCAAAGAGUGCGAUUGAUACCACUCUCAUGGGGUGCAAGUGACGACUUCACUGCUAUGAUGCAUCAUAAAAUGCCCAAGGGCAAUAGGGAUAUAUGUUGCCAGCCCAAGGUGUAAUGGGGAUGUACAUUGCCAGCCCAAGGUUGAUGGGGGUCAAACCAUCACAAUGUAUGAGUUUUAAUGUUAAUGAAAUGAUUAUGGUUGUUAUGUUUAUGGUAUGUUAUAUGUUGAGUUCAUUUGAGUAAUGUUUAUGGUUUAUACCUUAUGAUGGCAUGAAAAUGUGCUUAGUAAGAAGAAUUGAGCCCUAAAGAUAGUUCUCGAGAUGUCAAAAGACUUAGGGAAUGGCAAAAAUGCUAAAAUUGUUCAAAAACUUGGUCUCUAUGUUCAAAGUAUCGAUGCAUAUGGAGCACAUAUCGAUAGAUCCUAAACAGAUUGCCAUAUGAGGCUUUCUGUGUGAAAUGUAUUGAUACAUUUUACCAAUGUAUCGAUAGAUGCUUGAAAGUAUCGAUACAUUCAAUAAUGUAACAAUAGAUAUGGUACAGAAAAGGAUGUUUGAGUGAAUUUGAUAAAGAUUUUAAAGGUAAAGGAUUUCUAAAGGUUUAUAUAAGUUUGUUUUCAAACAAAAGGUAUUUAAAUGAGUUUAAAUGACAUGUAUAAUGAGGUUUAUGAUUCGAAAGUUAGGAACGGCAUGAGUUAUAAAUGCAUGGUUACGAAAAACUCUUUUCCCCUAGCUUGUCCCCUUCCGUAUCCACUCACGGAGUCUUUGUGACUCACAUGUUAUUUUUCCCAUUUAUUUUGUUACAGAUCAGUGAUAGCAUCUGAUAGCAGCCAGUGUCAUGGAUACCAGUUUUCGAUUCAGUCCUGGGUAGGUGUCAGCAGCCACUUGAUGCCUAAAGGGUCAAUCACAUUUCGCUGACGACUAUAUCUUACCUUUAUAUCCCUAAUAUAUCUAUAAAUAGUGAACAAACAUACUAGUUUCAACACACAACCAAAGAGUAAAUGUGAGUUCUUUUGUAAGUCAGAAAAACCAAAAACUCUUUUCUUUUUUUUUCUUUCUCUUUAUUUUUGAGGCACCAUCAAAGGCCAUAGGGUUUUGAAACGUGUAAUUCCUUGUGGAGGACUCUAGUAGUCACUCCAUAACAAUGAGAGUGAAGAAAUUAUUAUGUACAUGAAGGAAGAUUCGUAAAGCAAGUUUCUUCGAUCAGAAAGGAAGUGGAAUAUUUAUCUAAAAAAGUAAACCCCCCUCCCAACAAUAGUAUCAGAGCAAGUUUUAGCUUGCUUUCAUCCUUUUAAUUUGUGCAUAUUUUGAAAGAGUGUUUUGAUUAUGAUUUUAUUUAAUUUAAAUUAUUGGUACUAAUUUAUUAUGUAUAAAUCUGUAAAAGUUGUUGAAACUGAUAUAGGGAAGAAGUAGGCUUUAAUCUAGUGCAAAUAGGUGCAUUGGUCUAAGGCCAUGUGCUGCCUUAUGAAUGGCAGCAAAACAAAAAAAAUGAGAAAAGAAAAUGCAACUAGCAGGAUUCGAACCUACACUAAGAAAGUCAUUGAGAAUUUAAAACUAUCUUUCAACCAUUACACCAAGGAAACAUCCUUGAGAUGAGAGUAUGGUAAAUAAUAAAGACCAAAAGGGUUCCGACAUUACCAUAAAGGGCUUGCUGUGGCAGCCACAUGGUGCCAAAAUAUAUAUUUUUCUUAAUUACAUUUUUUCCCCACAAGUUUCUAUUUUUAAAAAAUGACCCUAAAAUUUUUUUGGUAAUUAAACUUUCACAAAAAAAAAUUAGAAUAUUAUUUAUGCUUUUGGCAUGUUACUAUUUUAUUAAAUUCACAUGCAUUAUAAAUAUAGUUAAUUAAUAUGUUAAUUAACCACAUUUUUUUUAUAUGUUGUAUAUUAGAAAUUAUUUUUUUCUAAAACAUAUAUAUGAAUUUAGCAAAUGUUUGUUAAUUCAAUUAUUUUACAUAUGUUGUAAAAUGCUAUGUACCAUAUAAGUAUAUUUUGUAAUUAUUUUACUUAUUUGUUAGGUAAAAUUUAUAAAAUGCAUGAUGUAAUCAUUUUACUUAUUUGUUAAGUAAAAUUGUAUGCAAAAAGACAGUACGGUGAUUAUAUGUCUCAGUAGUUUUGUCAAAGAAGACUAGGUUUUAAGAGAGACCAUUUGUGACUCCUCAAGCCUUUCCUAAAAAUUACUGCAAAAGUAAGGUGCGUUAUCAAGGAGACUAUUAUAGUCUUUCCUGGAAGCAUUUGAAAUUAUGAUCUACUUAGUGCUAUUUUUGUGCGCAUAAUACUUAUAUGGAAGUUUUUGAUCAUCCAAAAUAAUAAAUAUGUAUAAGCAAGCACAACAUCCCUAUUUUUUUGUAUAGAUUGAUGUAGUAGGUUCCUUAUGAUGUAAUUUAUUUUAGGUUUGUAUUAAUUAUUGAGGCCAUGUAAAGGGAUGUAAUUUUGCGCUUACUUUACGCAUAAUAUUAUUUUGGAAAUGGGCACCUAUAAAUAUUAAUAGGGUUCUUUAGUAGAAUUUAUUAUAUUAUGUGGUAAGAGGGAGUUGUUCCCAUGCUUAAGGAUAAUGGGAGUUGUUCCCAUAAUCCAAAGUUAAAUUAAAUUAGACAUUUUAAUUGAUGCUUAUACUAUUGGUGAUGAUUACUAGCAUGCAUGCGAAAUUUUCAAACUAGUGAUAUAGGUAAAAAUUAAAUAUGUCUAAUCUUAAUUGAUUAGAAAAUUAAAUAUGCCCCUAAUUAAAUGUUAUGCAAUGAUGUAGUGAUACGGCUUCAAAACAAAUUAUUACUGAUUUGACCAAAGGUGUCAAACUUGAUGGCAAAACCUAUAAUAUCUUGCAUAAGUAGGUUUAGUAACUUCUCAAUGAGCUUGAGUUGCUCGAUCAUCUGACUAAAGAGAUAAACCCACCUAAAGCUAGAAACACAGCCUAGCAUUGCCGUGACUAAGAAACCUUUAACACUUGGUAUAAGAGAGACUGUAGUGCGCACUUGACCAUGUUAAGUUGCAUGCAUAAUGAUCUCAUUAGGAAGUUUGAGAACUUCCCAACUGCCAAAUAGUUGUGGGAGCAAUUGAAAUUCAAGUAUGGCAGAACCACAGUUACGAGGCUUCGUGCUUUGACACUUUGGUUCAAUCAAUAUGUCAUGGACUCUAAUUACACUAUGGCUGAACACUUAAGGGCUAUGUCAGCCAUGAUAAGAGAGAUGAAAGCAGCUGGUUAUGAUCUCACAAAUGAGCAGCAGGUCAUAGCUGUCAUCAAGUCACUCCCCGAGUCCUUAUGAGGACAUGUUAAACUUGUAUUAACAUAUAAUGAAUGGAUAAAGACUUUUGAUGAUAUUUCCCACCAUUUAGAGCUUGAGGCAGAGUGUAGAUAAGCUAUCCAUAGCACUGCCCUGGUAGCUCAAGCUAGAAAUCGUAAAGUGUAUGUUCCCUAACGAAAGAGACAACAAAAAAAGGGAAUGACUGAAAAUCUUAAGCCCAAUAGUGAUGGAGUCACCAAGCACUAAAGAGGAAAGUGUGGUGGGAAGAAGGACAAGUCCAAGCUGAAAUGCUUUAAUUAUGGUAAGAAGGGACAUUUUGCUUAAGAAUGCAAUGAGCCUAAGAAGGUUCGCCCUCUAAACCACUUUAGAACUUAUGUAUGUUCUCAUAUGUUUAUAGCUCAUUCUUUCCUUGGUUGGAUUGUAGAUAUAGGAGCAACCAAGCACUUAACCUGUAAUCGUGCAGGAUAUUUAGAUUUCCAUCAUUUAGACACUUUGUCAUGAUGGGGAACGAAGAACAAGAAGAGGUCCUAAGAGUAAAAACUUCUUAACUCGCAAUGCCCAAUGGGCGAAAAUGGCUUUUACAUGAUGUGCAUCAUACUUCGUCCGUACGAUGUAAUCUACUUUCAAUUUUAGCAUUGAUGGGUUUAGGAUUUAAUUUUACCUUCGAGAAUUAUAGUUUGUCUAUUCUUCAUGAAAACAAGUUUUCUGGUCAUGGUCAUUUUAAAGAUGGUUUGAUUAUGUUAGAUUUGGAUUCUAAUAACGAUAUUGAUUUGUUUCAAAUUCUUCUUCUAAUGCUAUAAAUGAUUCUGUGAAAUGGCAUGCUAGAUUAGAACAUAUUGGGUAAAAUAGAAUGUCUAGAUUGGUUAGAGAAAGACUAUUUGGCUCAAUCACCAAAGUUAAACUUCUUACAUAUGAGCCAUGUCUUGCUGGUAAGUCCAGCAGAUAACCUUUUGAGAAUGCUAAAAGGGCCACCCAUCUUCUAGAACUUGUCUAUUCGGACAUUUAUGGGCCUAUGAAUGUAAAGGCAUGCAAUAGCACAUCCUAUUUCUUUACAUUCAUAAAUGAUUACUCAUGAUAUGGAUCCAUAUUUUUGUUGUCUCGCCAUUUUGAAGCUUUGAAUUGUUUCAAACGCUUUGUGGCAGAGGUUGAGAAUCAAAAAAAAAAAAGGAAACUAAAGGUUUUUUGCACUGAUAAAGGUCAUGAAUUAUGUGAGGAAAAGGGAAUACGUCAACAAUUAACAAUACCUAGAACUUUGCAACAAAACGGUGUUGCAGAAAGAAGGAAUCGUACCUUGUUAGACAUGUUUAAUUCAGUGAUGGCAUAAGCCAGCCUUUCAAUAGUUUUUUGAGGGAUACCCUUUUGAUCGCAGUAUACAUCCUCAAUCAUGUGCCCUCAAAAUUUGUUCCCACAACUCCAUAUGAGUUAUGGAAUGAAAGUAAGCCCAAUUUAAAAGGCUUACGUCCUUGGGGAUUAGCAAGGUAUGUACAUCACUUAUCUAAUAAGUAUGGGAAACUUGGUCCUAAAGCUAAUAAGUGUGUAUUUAUUAGAUAUUCAAAACACUCUAAGGGUUAUGUGAUGUAUGGGGAACACCUUGAUGAAGGGCUAACUAAGAUGGAAUCUUGUGAUGUUGAUUUUCUAAAAGAUGACUUCCCAACCAUAAGUGAGGUUAAAGAAAGCCUUAAGCUUUAUGAGAUGGAGGAGCCUCAAGAAAAUGUAUCCCAACAUGAGGAAAUGAAUAUGGAAACACAUCCUAUCCAAGAGACUGUUAAGGUCAGUGGGAGUACACUGUUUGAGCUCUAUCAAGAUUCACAAUUGCGAAGAAGUGAACAUAGGCAUAUACCCUGUAAAUGAUUUGAGAUAGAAAGUCAGUCUUUCUUAGGUAUUCCUGUGGAUGUUGAUGAACCAUCUUCCUAUGAGGAAGCUUUAAACUCACUAUUAUUAGACAAAUGGCUUAUUGCUAUAGAAGAUGAAAUGAAAUCCAUAACUGAAAACCAAAUAUGGGAGUGAGUUGACCUUCCACUUGGGCAUAAAACAAUCAAAAACAAAUGGGUUCUGAAGGUAAAGUGCAGAGCGGAUAGAUCAAUUGAAAAAUAUAAGGCUCAUUUAGUGGCAAAAGGCUAUACCUAAAAAAAAAGGUGUGGAUUAUGAAGAGACAUUUUCUCCUGUGGUGAGAUUUGAGUCAAUUCGCCUUAUCUUGGCUAUAAUGGCACAUUUAGAUUUGGAAUUGUUCCAAAUGGAUGUGAAAACUGCAUUUCUCAAUGGAGAAAUCAAUAAGGAGAUUUACAUGAACCAACCAAUUGGUUUUCGAGCCAAAGGAAAAGAAUACAAGGUCUUGAAACAUUUUAUCUAUGGCUUAAAACAAUCAUCUUGACAAUGGUAUCUUAAUUUUCAUCAAGCCAUCAUUUUCAUAGGGUUUGUGAUGAUUGAAGAAAACCAUUGUGUAUAUGUAAAGAGAUUAAGGAAUAAGUUCUUUAUUCUUUCAUUAUAUGUGGAUGAUAUCCUAUUAGCCGGAAAUGACAUGGAGUUAAUUGUCACCACUCAAAAAUGGUUGUCCUCCACUUUCAAGAUGAAGGACAUGGGACAAGCUAAAUACAUCCUCAAGGUUAAGAUCUCGAGAAAUCGUUCUAAGAAGUUCUUGAGUUUGUCUCAAGAAAAUUACAUUCAAAGGGUUUUAAAACAUUUACAUAUGCAAAACUCCAAGCCUAUAGACAUUUCAAUGGAGAAAGGCUUAUAUCUCAGCAUGGAACAAUGUCCUAAAACUAAAGAAAAAAAAGAAAUAAAUGGCGAACAUGCCAUACGUAAGUACUGUUGGAAGUCUGAUGUACUCUAUGAUGUAUGCUAUGAUGUGUACUCGACCGAACAUAUGCUUUGCGGUUGGUAUAGUUAGUAAGUACCAAAGUAAUCUUAUGAUUUCCCAUUGCGUUACAGUUAAAAGGAUACUACGAUAUCUAAGAGGAACCACUAAUUUGGCUUUGUGCUAUCAAAGUGAAAAUCUAAAAUUAGUCGGAUAUAGUGAUACUAAUCACGCAAGUGAUAAAGAUGAUCGAAAGUCUACUUCAGGAUAUGCUUUUAUACUUGGAGGCGAAACUAUCUCUUGGAGUAGCAAGAAGUAGCUUUGUACUGCUUUCUAUACUAUGGAAGCAGAGUAUGUAGCAUGUUGUGCUGCAGUACAAAAGGUGGUUUGGUUAAAGAGAUUCUUGCAAAGCUUGAACAUUAAUAGGCAUCUUAGUGAAGCUAUUGUACUUUAUUGUAACAAUACAACUGCCAUAACUUAUACAAAAAAUCCUAACUAUCAUGAAAAAACCAAACACAUUAAUACUUGCUAUCACUACAUUCGUGACAUCAUUGCACAAGGUCUUGUUGUGUUGAAGUACAUUUCCACAACUGAUAUGUUAGUAAACCCAUUCACAAAACCUAUUGCUAGAAAUGCUUUCCAAAAGCAUGUUAGGGGUUUAUGGUUAUUACAUAUUUGAUAUUCAUGUACUAUUGUUCUUGAACAAUUAAUAAAUGAAGUCUAUUUUGAAUCAUUUGAUCAAAUGUUGUUAAUUAAUUAGGGCAUAGAUCUAAGGUAAUUAUUGUCACAUGGCUUUAUAGAUUAUUCCUCUCACACGAGAUAAUUGCCCCAAUGCUUCGGUAAUGUAUGGGAUGAGACUUAAAUGAUCACAAGGUACCAAGUGUUUUGUGAUCUCCUUGUCACAUGAGUUAUGAGCAAGGAUCUUAGCAAUGUCACCUUGACUUAAAGUCAGGUUAAGGCUUGUAAGAGUCGAACAUGGAGAUUAUCCACACUCCAUGAAGCCAGUGAUAGCCGGAUUUGAAUCUUAGGGGAUUCAAGUAAAUUCUUUUUGCAAGAUUGGACCGAGAUCCAUAUGGCGAUUUUGAUGUGACAAACCCUAAAUAAAAGAUCCACCAUAACAUACAUUUCACACUGUAUAUGCUAUUAGUCGACUGAUGGAAGGGAAUGAUUGAAUAGAUCCUUACUUCAUCAUUGUGUGAGCCCUAAGGACUUAUGUUGUCAAGCCCAGCUCUAUUAUAUACUUGCCAUGUCAUUUAUAUACUUGAUAGCAUGUCUGCAUACUUGGAUGCCUCGAAAAAUCGUUAAAAGUCGGUAUCAUACCUAGUGGUAUAAUUAAGUCGAUUAAAACCUCGAACUAGUCCAAAUAGAGAUUUUGGGAUGUAUUUGAGAUUUAUUGAACCUUAGAAUGUCUUAAAAUGGUGAUUCAGAGUUCGAGGAUUAAUUUGGAAUCCAAUCGGGAAUUUUUAUAAUGUAGGGGCAAAAUGGUCAUUUUGCCACUCGAGGGCAAAAAUUGGAAUGUUGGACAAGAUUUUUUACUACGUUUGACUAUUUGGAGCAUAAUUUGAAUUUGAGAAGUGAAAAUUUUCAAUUCCAAUAUUUUUCCGAGCAUAAGGGCAAACCGGUCAUUCCAUGUCUCAAUGAGGACGUAAUAGGAAUUUUUGAAAUUUUACACCACUAUGACACUUGUCAAGCCCAUGAAUUUUACCUAUUAUCAUUUUAUACUUUGGAUAAUUAAAGUAUUAUAUGUGGUGGUAAGAAAAUGCUUAAUAGUUAAGUUUUAACCAUGAACCAUUCACACGUUGACACAUGUCAAGCUUUAAUUCUUUUAUAAUUUUCUUUAUAAAUCAACAUAAACCUCUCCUAAUUCUUUUUUCAUUGUUGUGCAAGCCAAAGAAAAGGGGGGAAAGAAUAGAAACAACCCUUGAGGAAGAAAAUUCAAGAGAAAUUCAUCGGUUACCGAAAAAAGAAGCGAUCUGAAGUAAGAUUUCGCGAUUUUAGCUUAAGAUUCACCUCUCCCAUGCUUUCUUUUUCAUUUUCUAUGGUUAAAACCCAAACUUUCAUGAAGGAAGUCAUGUUGGCCGAAUCAAGGGGGGGAGGUUUUGAUGAUGGUUUUUGUUAGAUUUCAUGUUAUCUAGGUGUUUUUAGUUGUUUUGUGAUAUUCGGUAUGAAAAACAAGCAAGAAAAGCACAUGUCCUUCACUAAACCCUCAUUGGCUGAAUUUAAUAUAGGAUAUAUUUGUCACGACCCAAAUUUCGGGCCAUGACCCGCGCAUGGGCCCAAUGGACGUAAUCCACUAAACCCAAGCAAACCUAUUAUUUAUCUUACUCAUAAUUCUAUCUAAUAUCGCUAAGUCAUAUUUCAUAAUUUCGAAUCAAAAUAGUGAUAUACAUUGCCAACUCGUACUGGCAUUACUCAUUUAACAUUUACAUACAAUAUCUACAACAAGUAUUCUAAUAAUUUACAUUAAGUUCGUCUAUACAUAACAAAAUAACACUCAACUUCCAGCGGAGGGACUCGGAUGAAUAUACAACUACUGAAUGCCGAGACACCUACCAAAAGAUGGACACAAGUCUACAAGGACACCUCCUCCUAGUUACCAACUGCCUCGUGAUCUGAAAACAUGAAUUUGAAAAUUGUGAGUAUAAACCCAGUGAGUGAACAAGGAAGGGAACAAGCAACCAUAAGGAAUCUUUAACGAAAUCAUGAUGCAUUUCUUUUCAAAACAAUGCAAUUUGUUUCUAUUCUUAUUAAAUACCCCUCAUCAAGCCCUUAAAUGAUUAAUCAUUUGAAAAUCAUGAACCCAUACAUAGCGAAUCAUUUGAAGAAUGAAAGCUUCAAUAUUACACAAGCAAUUCAAAUACGACAACGAAUCUUCGCUGCAACGAGAAUGCCUUUCCGUUGCAGCGACGUUGGGAUUUAGUUAUUAGCCGAACGAGGGUUUCUCAACUAGCCGAGGGUUUCUCACUAAACCUCCUCAUUUUAAACUUAACUCAUUUAAUCCUUAAUGUUGGAAGUCCAUGCUCCGAUAUGGUAGCAAAGAAGUGAAAGAUAGGGCAGCAAUUGGACAAGAUAAGAGACCAAAAUAGAAAGUUUUUCGCUGAAGCAAGAUUGAAUCUCGCUGCAGCGAAAUUGAAUCUCGCUGUAGCAAAAUUGUAACCCAGAAACAGAAUGUUUUUCACUGCAGCAAAUUUCAAUCUCGCUGCAGUGAAAUUUCAACCCAGAAACAGAAAGUUUCUCGCUGCAGCGAGAAUGUAUUUCGUUGUAGCGAGUUUCAGGCUAGCCUACCCUUUCAAAACCCGAGAGUUUCUCACUGCAGCGAAAUACAGGGCACCAAAUGAAAAUUUCCCUUUCUCCCAAAGAAAACCACCCUGCUUGAAAUGUUCAAAACCAAUAAGAAAUACAUAACAACUUCCCAAAGUUUAACAUACCGAAUUUCACAUACAUUACAUCCAUAUACAUAACUCAUAAAUUUCUUAUAACACACAUGUUUACGUAUGUAUACAUAUACAUAUACCCAUCACCAUCAUGCACACCAUCCCACCAUCAUGCACACCAUCCCAUCAUCAUCAUCACCAGCUCAUGCUCACUCCCUACUCGCACAUGGCUGGGUCAUCACCGGGUUAUGCGUACUCCCUACUCGCACAUAACCAGAUCAUCCUCGACUUAUGAGCACUCCCUACUCGCACAUAGCCGAGUCAAUAUAAUUACACAACAUUAUACUCAAGCAUAUAUGUAUAUCAACAUAAUGCAACCACAUAGAAAUCCACAAUAACCACAUAUCAUAACAUAAACCAUUUCACAAAAGCUUGUUCCCAAGGCAUUCAUUUUUUAGAAAAGUUGUAUAAAAUCAUUCAAACACUUUGUUCAAAACAGUCAUAUUCCCAAAACAAUUUUGAUAGGCAGUCCACUCACCAAUUGAUUGUAGAGCCUUUAGAUGACUCCAAUUCUCCUAAUUGUCCAAAUGGGAUGAUGGGGCUUCCUUAGAACCUAGGAUCACAUUAACAUAAACAAUAGAUCAAUUUACACACUAUGAACCCUAAAAGCUAUCUCUUAGCUAGUUUUCAAUUGCCACAUUAAAUGGCUAUCUAUGUUCACUAUCUUAAUCACAAAAAAAGUAAUGAACAUACUCAAUAAUAAAACAGCUCUUAAUCUAAAUUACUAGUCAUUAUUCAUAGCUAAAAUUCAAGCUUUUUGCAUCACUCACCCGAGGGUUCCUUUAUAGUUGGAUUCUCUUCCAAUAGCUUCAAAAUCAAUUGGUUAAUUCUCUCUUUCUCUCUCUAAAAUGCCCAACUAGUGAGUGAAAGUUUGGAAAUAAUAUUUAUCAAGGGUUUUGAAGUGAGAAAGUGAAAGAAUACUAGAGUUCUAAUCAAAAGGGUUCAAAGGUAUGAAAACUAGAGCUAGAGAGAGAAAAUUAAGCAAGCUUCAAAUCAAGCUUCCAUGGAGUUUUGAAGAAACGUGAGAGAGGAGAAGAAGAAAAAGACAAGCUACUGGAAAAUCUCUAGAAGCUGGUGGAAAUUCAAGAUAUUUAUAGCCAAUCUUAUCCCUUACCUUAAAAUUACGAAAAUGCCCCUCCAUCAAUUAACUUAUUCUCCUCCAAUCUUUUAUGCAAUCUUUUUGCUCUUUUAACACUAGGACAAGAUCCAUGAUGGUCUAGACAUGUUCGGGUUCAUAAAAAAUUAAAAUUUUAACUCGAGGUGAAAAAUGACCAUUUUGCCCCUGUUAUGAAAAUUAUUGUCAUUUCUAGUUUUCUUUGUGUUUUCAUCAGUACACAUCAUUUAUACUGUCUUAUGCCUAUUUAGGCCUUAAAAUAUCAUAAAACUUUCUUCUGGGAGCUUAUUAGAGAAAAUGAUGAAACUACCCCUAGCUCAUAUUAUUACAUCAAUGCUUAGCUACAAGCUUAUAGAGGUUGGGGUCUCACAAUAUUAAUGAUGAAUUUUGUUAUAUUUCAUAUUAUUUAGUGCGUAUUUGAUGAUUUAUAGUAUCGGAUAUUGACAAUGGUUAUCGAAAAGUAUAGUGCUUUUAGUAAACGACUUGAACGACAACGAGAAAAUCAUGGUAAAUGACUUGAAUUUGAUUUCUAAUUAUAUAUACGGACUUAUUGGACUGCAUUGACACUAAUUAGCACGUUAGUUUGGAAUCAGAAUGAGUUUCAGAUGUGAUCAUUUAAGUCACAAUCAAGUUCAUUGAGGUACUUUAGGGGUAUUUGGAGUACCAAAAGUGCAAUGAAUCUAUUUGGAGUUGAAUCGGAUGUUUUGGCUAAUUAAACAGUGUAUAGUGCGAGUUAGGUCGAAUACCAUUUUAGUCCAAUAACAAUUGAACCUACGUAGAACACCAUCUUUAAGUGAUUAUUCGAACAUUUCUCAUUCAAUUUCAUACAUUCAUAUAGAGCUUGGAAGAGUUUUAUAACAGUUUGGCACAAAUGUAUUGAAUUACUUGUUGUGUAUUAAGUAUAGGUGGUGAGCCCUCUGGUAAGGGUAAGGAUAUCGUACUCGAGGACCAAGAGCAGGAGUACUUCCGUUAUUGUGAGUAAAUAGACUAUCAUCUUAACUAUCUAAAGUAGUUUAUACUCGUUUUUAUGAUUUUAAAGAAUAAUGAACUUAAAUUGUAAACUAUUAUGUUUUAUAACUGAAGUGUUGGUUAAAUGAAAUGAGAUUCAUAAUUUGGCUUGAAAUUGAAUGCUGGUUUUGGAAAUUGAGUAAGCGGAGACUAUACACUUGUGUUAUAUAUAUGUUUUGACUAUUGUUAGUUGUGCUGACUGUGAGACCUCAACCCCUAUAGGCUCAUAACUACGCAUAGAGGCAAUAACAUGGGCUAGGGGUAGUUUCAUCAUUUUCUCUAAAAAAAAAGCUCCCAGAAAAAGGUUUAAUGAUAUUUUAAGGUCUAAAUAAGCAUAAGACCGAAUAAAUAAUGUGUAAUGAUGAAAACACGAAGAAAACUAGAAGUUUCAAUAAUUUUCACAAUAGAGGCAAAAUGGUCAUUUUGCACGCCGAGUCAAAAUUUUAAGGUUUUGUAAACUUGAAUAGUUUAGAUCAUUGUGGACCUUGUCCCAGUGUCAAAAGAUUAAAAAGAUUGCACAAAGGAUUAGAGAAGAACAAGUUAACUUGCUAAAGGGCAUUUUCGUAAUUUUCAAGGGAAUUGGAUAAGUUUGAGUAUAAAUAUCUUCUCCUUCCAGUAGCUUCUUCAAUUUUUAGCAGCUUUUUCUUCUUCCUUCUUCCAUCUCACGUUGCUUUCAUCCUCCAUGGAAGCUUGAUAUGAAACUUUCACAACUUUUUCUCUUUAGCUCUAAUUUUCAUACCUUUGCGCCCUUUUGACUAGAACCCUUGUGCUCUUUCACUCUCUCACUUUAAAACCCUCAAAAAGUCCUUGGUCAGCACUUUCUCUCACAAGUUGGAGGUUUUAGAGAGAAAAAGAGAGAUUUUCCACAUUUGUUUGGAAGCUAUUGGAAGAGAAUUAAACUAUAAAGAAACCCUAAGGUGAGUGAUGAACUAGGCUUGGUUUUAAGUUGUUGAUAAUGGCUAGUAAUUGGGAUUAUGAGCUGUUUUAUUGUUGAGUUGUUUACUCAUUUUUAGUGUGAUUAGAGUAGUGCAAGGAAUAGCCAUUUGAUAUAGUUGGAAGCCAAUUAGGAAUGACUAGUAGAAUUUGAAUUAGAAACUAGCUUUUGGAGUGAUAUUAAUGUAAAUUGGAUUGGUUGUGAUGUUGUGUGUGUAUAGGUUCCAACAAGGCCUCACAUGUCCAUUUGGAGUAUUAGUUGAGGUUAGAGUCAAGCAAAAGAAACAACAAGACCGGUGAGUGAACUUGCAUUUCAAAGUAUUUUUGGGAAUGUGAAUGUGUUUGCACAAGACAUUAAAUGAUUUUAUCAAACUUUUCUUAAGAAUGGGUGCCUUGGGAACAAGCCCUUGAUAAAUUAUCUUUGUGUUGUGAUAUGUGGCUAUUAUGGAUUUAUAUACUGCUACAUUAUGUUGAUAUAUAUAUACGAAUAAUGUUGUGUAAUAAUAUUGACCCGACUAUGUGCAAGUAGGAGUACGCAUAAGCUGUUGCUAACUCAGCUAUGUGCGAGUGGGAGUGCGUAGCUGACCCGGCUAUGUGCGAGUGGGAGUGCAUAGCUGACCCGGCUAUGUGCGAGUAGGAGAACGCAUAAGCCAUUGCAUAUGAGCUGAUGAUGAUGGGAGGGUGUGCAUGAUGAUUGAUAUAUAUAUAUAUAUAUAUAUACAUAUAUGGUAUAUGGUUGUAAUGCAUGUGAAAUUUUGGCAUGUUGAACUUCGAAAAUUUUUGAGCAUUUCAUGUUGAAAUUGGCAUGAUGAAUCUUGAGAAUGUCCUAUUUUCUUACAAAUUGAGUUCAUUUCAACACCAAAUGGAUUUUUAGUGCAAAAGAGGUCUUUUUUUCACUUAGGUGCCCUACUUCUCACUGCAGCAAGAAUACAGCGAGAAACAUUCUGUUAUGGUAGCAGAAAACUCGCUGCAACGAAAAUAAAUCUCGCUACAGCGAGAAACUUUCAGGUUCUGAUGUAGUGCCUUCAAUUUGAUGAAGAUUUUGACUACCUUCCCGUCCAAACUGGGAAAAGUGGUAAACAUCAAAGUUGUAUCCCAGCCUCUCAGCUUUUUAAUGGUUCAAAAAUCAGGUCAAUUGGACUUCUGUAACAAUAGAUAUGCCAGAAAAACUAAAAUACAUGCAAACUAGUAUUGUUUCUCGCUGCAGCGAGAAACAUUCUAUCCUACAUGCUACCCUAUUCGAUUUUUGAAAUAUUUUUCACUCAUUUAACUUCAUGGAUUGAUCAUGGGUUGUUGCAACACUAUGAGGUUAUUAAUCAAAGUUUGAAAUGAGGUGUUUUUAGUAAGAAAUUAAAUCAAUUACAUUGUUUUUAAAACAAGUGCAUCAUGAUUUCCAAAUUCUUCCUAUUGAUUGCUUGUUCCCUUCUUAUGUUCACUCACUGAGUUUUAUACUCACGUUUUUAAACUUCAUGUUUUCAUAUUCGAAGGCAGUUGGGACCUAGAUUGAGUCGCACACAUAUGCUCACCUUCUUGGUAGGUACUAUGGCAUCUCAGUAGCUGUACCCUCACCCACGGUCACUCUGCUGAUGGUCAAGAGUCGUAUACUUGUGUAUACGUAUAAGUAAUGUAGACCACUCAGAUUCAUGUUAGAAAAAUCAAAUGUGUAUAUUUGAUUACUGAUGCCAUUAUAGGCUGGCAAACGAGUAACAUUAUUUUAACAUAAUACGAAUGUGAAUAUUGGGUUACUAUAAAAUGUUAUUGAAAUAUUUAUAAUUGAGAGUUGCAAUAUGUGGUUUUAGAAUGAUGAUCAAGUUUGCAUAAAAAAGGCUUGCUUGGGCUUAGUGGGUUAUGCCCAUUGGGCCCAUGCGCCAUCAUACUGCCAAAAUUUUAUUGAUUUAGUGGGGUAAUUGAUUAGCUUACUGCAUUGAGCGGGUUUCUGUGGACUGGCCUAUUAGAGGAGCACGGUAAACCCCAUCAUAUUUUACCUUAGUAUGAGAGGCGCGAAGGGUAUCUCCUAAGGUAGUUUAGAGUUCACUUCACACCAAACCACCACGUAAGGGUGAAACUCAGCCAACGCCAAGGAAUGGCUAUGUUUUUAAAUGUAAAAAUAUGUUUUAUGUAUAUGUUAUUUUAACAACCUUGACGGACUCAGUUGGAUGCCCUGCACAAGGUGUCACUGAGUACAAGUUUUAGCAUGAGCCAAGUUUUUAAGAGAGUCAUAAGCCUUGUUGAAUUUUUUUUAUGAAAUGUAACUGUUUUAUAUGGGUUGAAAUGAGUUUUAAGGUUAUGAAUCAUAUUAUGAUGAGAAGUUUUAAUUGUCUCCAUUUACUCGGCUUUAGAUGCUAUAGAUGAUCUUUUCUUACUCACUGGGUUUAUAAAAACUCACCACCCUUCUUUCACCCAUUUCAGGCUCAGGGCAGUCUGUAGACUGUCAAUUUUGUCGAAGGUUUGCUUUUGGAUUCGCACCCUUAAAAAUCAUAGGUUUACAAUCGUGUUUAUUUUUGUCAUUUUGGGGCUCACAUGUCAUUGUAGAAUAUUUUUGUAUACCUUCGUGCAAUGUGCUAUUAUAUAUACGAAUUUAUUUUGUUAUUACUUUUCAUUAACUGUUUACGUAGAAUUUUAUAAAUAUUGUUUUAUAUGAAAAUAGAAUAUUUUAUUCAAUAUUUUUUUAUUUAGUUUGAUUAGCUAUAAUUCCACUUUAAAUGGAUGAUUUAGAUACCUAAAUUUAUUUUUAGAUAUGAAAUGUAUAUUUUUUAUUUAUAUAUUAUAUUUUUAGCAAGUUUCGAAAUUUUCGGGUAGAAUGACCAAAAUACUCCUGUGCGGUAGAAAUUACUUUUUGAUUGUCUUUAAUUUGAAAAUAGUCUAUAUUCCUUUAAAAUAUGAUAUUUAGUAACUACUGCUCACAAGAGAGGCAGAGAACUGAUGCUAGAGCCUUGCGAGGUUUCGGUUGACAUUUCGGGUCAGGUAUGUUUAUCGGGACAUCGCAACGGUUGUCACGGGCUCGAAGAGAGUACUGGGUCGUGACAUAUGUAUUCUAAAUUUUAUACCCUUUGGGACUUGGAUCUGUUAUAUGAAGUUGAGAUUUAGUGUUGCUACUUUAGCAUGAUUUCCAAGGGUAAAAAAUGAUACGAUUUAACGGAACAUGACUAAGAAAGCAGCCAGAUCUUAAUGGAUUGACAUGAGUAUCCAAAUAAGAGUCAUUAUAUAUCUCACAUACAUGGUCUAUAACUUAUUGCUCAAGCAGUUAUAAAAACAUUAGUUGUCAGAUAUAACCAUGAGUUUAGACACACAAAGAGAUUUUGCAUAGCUCUUACAUAUAGGAGGGAUCAAAGAUGCAAAAUCUUGUGUGAUUAAAAUGAUUUGGGGUAUGACGAGAACUCAAGCGGUGUUAUGUUAGUAAAAUGGUAACUUAACAUCUCAUUGCUCACCAAUACCUUUAUUUUCUUGUUGGUCACACGUUCCAUUUUCCUUGUAUGACAAUGAAUGAAGAAUGAAUUAAAUUGAGAAUGGUAUAAGUUGAUGCCAAUGUGUACGAGUAGGAGAUGUUGCAUUUAAAUGUAGUGUGUCCACAUAGCAUGCAACUUUAUUAAUUAUUUGUGGAUAUAUAACUAAUAUUCAAUUAAUUAAUAUUAGAUAUUAUUCUGAUAUUCCUUAAUUGAAUAAUUAAAAAUAAAUGUUUAAGAUAGGAUAUAAAUUUAAAUUUAAUUUGUUUAAAUUUAAAUUAUCUAUCCAUUAUAUUUAAGUUUAAUUUGUUUAAAUUUAAAUGAAGAUUAAUUACAUUUAAAUUUAAUUAGUUUAAAUUUAAAUAUAAUAUCUUAUCUCUAUAUCUUUAAUACGUCUAUAAAUAGUGAACAGACGUACUAGUUUCAACACACAACCAAAGAGUGAAUGUGAGUUCUUCUGUAAGUCAAAAAAACCAAAAACUCUUUUCUCCUUUUUUUUUCUUUCUCUACAUACUUGAAGCACCAUCAAAGGCCAAAGGGUUUUGGAACGUGUAAUUCCUUGUGGAGAACUUUAGUAUAUGCUCCAUAACAACGAGAGUAAAGAAAUUAUUGUGUGCAUGAAAAAGGAUUUGUAAGGCAAGCUUCUUCGAUCAGAAAGGUAGUAGAAUAUUUAUCUGAAAAUGUAAGCCCACCUCCCAACAAUCCAAGACUUAGACUAAUCUAUCAACUUUGUGCUUUUUAUAUUAAUUCGUCUACCUACCUAAUUGACAUAAGUUGGAAUCAUGGAACAAUUAGAAUUAAUUUGUUAGUUGUUGCCAGUUAAAACUAUUUUUCCACUAGGCUACAGUAAGUCUAACCUUCCUAAAGAGAACAUAAAACUCUUCUCACUUAGCUACAUUGCCAAACCCAUUUAUCAUACAAAUUACACUCCCAUAGAAAUAACAAUCCCAUUAACACACACACAAAUAUAUAUAUAUAUAUAUAUAUAUAUAUAUAUAUAUAUAUAUAUAAANAGUAUGGGAGUAAGACUUUUUAAGGGUUUUAAGGUGAGAGACUGAAAAGAGCAUGAAAAACCCUAUAACAAGGUGUGUAAAAGCAUGAAAUUUAAGAUUAGUUUGAGAGGGUGAUGGAAGCGUUGAGAGAAGCUUUCAUGGAGGAUGAAAAAAAUGUGAGAUGGGAGGAAGAAGAAGAAGAAGCUGCUGGAAAAAUGAGGAAGCUGCUUGUGAGACCUUGACCUUUAUAGACUCGUAGAUAGAAGUACACGCGAUAUCCCUGAUCAAGGGUAAUUUCAUCAUUUCCUUAGUAAGCCCCUAAAAGUAAGUUUUAAACAAUAUUAAGGCCUAAGUAGGCCUAAGGCAUAAAUGAAUGAUGAAAAUAUGAGUAAAAUGACAAGGAAAUAAAAAUUUUGAUGAUUUUCACGAUAGGGGCAAAAUGGUCAUUUUUCACCUCGAGUUAGAAUUUUUAAGUUUUCAUGAAUACGAGCAUUUCUAGACCAUUAUGGACCUUGUCCUAGUGUCAAAAAAGUAAAAGAUUUCAUAAAAGAUUAGAGGAGAAUAAGCUAAUUUGUGGAGGGGCAUUUUGAUAAUUUAAGUGGAGUGGAUAAGCUUGGGCUAUAAAUAUCUUUCUUCCAACAACUUCUACAUUCUCUAGCAGCUUUUCUUCUUCUUCUUCUUCUUCUUCUCUUUCACGUUGCUUCCCAACCUCCAUGAAAACUUGAUAAGAAAGCUCCACACCCUUCUUUAAAUAGCUUCAAAUUUCAAGCUUUUGGUGCACCCUUUCCAUAAACCCUUGUGCUCUUCCAUUCUCUCACUUUAAAACCCUUGAAAAAAAUCUUGUUUCCAUACUCUCUUUCACUAGUUAGGUGUUUUAGAAAGAGAAAGAGGAAGCUUUACAAUAGUUUGGAGAAUUGUUGGAAAGAAUUUCAAAGUUUCAAAGCUAUUAAGGUGAGUAAUAAAUUAGAGUUGAAAUUUUAGUGUUGAGAAUGACUAGAGAUUUGAUUUGUGAAUACCUUGUAGUUGAGAUUGUAAAUUCACUUUGGAGUGAUAGAAUAGUGAAAAUGGAUAGCCAUUUAAUGGCAAAUGGAAGCUAGCUAAGAAAAAGCUUUUAGAAUUCAUAAGUAUGUGGCUUGACUUAAUGCUGAUGCUAAUGUGAUAAUAGGUUCCAACAAAGCCGCAUCACCCCAUUUGGACAAUUAGAGAAGUUAGAGUUGACUAAAGGAUUCAACAAAUACCGGUGAGUGAACUUGCAUUUCAAAAUAGUUUUGGGAAUGUAAAUGACUUAUCCAAUUUUUUUUAAAAACGGGUGCCUUGGGAACAAGCCUUUGAUAAAUUGUCUCUAUGUGUGACAUGUGGCUGUUAUGGAUUGUUGUAUUACUACAUUAUGUUGAUCUAAAUAUAUAUGAAUAAUAUUGUGUAAUGAUAUUGACCCGACUAUGUGCGAGUAGGAGUGUGUAUAAGCCGAUGCUGACCCGGUUAUGUGCGAGUGGGAGUGUGCAUAAGCCGCUGCUGACCUGACUAUGUGCGAGUGGGAGUGCGCAUAAGCUGAUGCAUAUGAGCUGAUGAUGAUGGGAGGGUGUGUAUGAUGAUUGAUGUAUAUAUAUAUAUAUAUAUAUAUAUAUACAUCAAUCAUCAUACACACCCUCCCAUCAUCAUCAGCUCAUAUGCAUCAGCUUAUGCGCACUCCCACUCGCACAUAGUCAGGUCAGCAGCGGCUUAUGCACACUCCCACUCGCACAUAACCGGGUCAGCAUCGGCUUAUACACACUCCUACUCGCACAUAGUCGGGUCAAUAUCAUUACACAAUAUUAUUCAUAUAUAUUUAGAUCAACAUAAUGUAGUAAUACAACAAUCCAUAACAGCCACAUGUCACACAUAGAGACAAUUUAUCAAAGGCUUGUUCCCAAGGCACCCGUUUUUAAAAAAAAUUGGAUAAGUCAUUUACAUUCCCAAAACUAUUUUGAAAUGCAAGUUCACUCACCGGUAUUUGUUGAAUCCUUUAGUCAACUCUAACUUCUCUAAUUGUCCAAAUGGGGUGAUGCGGCUUUGUUGGAACCUAUUAUCACAUUAGCAUCAGCAUUAAGUCAAGCCACAUACUUAUGAAUUCUAAAAGCUUUUUCUUAGCUAGCUUCCAUUUGCCAUUAAAUGGCUAUCCAUUUUCACUAUUCUAUCACUCCAAAGUGAAUUUACAAUCUCAACUACAAGGUAUUCACAAAUCAAAUCUCUAGUCAUUCUCAACACUAAAAUUUCAACUCUAAUUUAUUACUCACCUUAAUAGCUUUGAAACUUUGAAAUUCUUUCCAACAAUUCUCCAAACUAUUGUAAAGCUUCCUCUUUCUCUUUCUAAAACACCUAACUAGUGAAAGAGAGUAUGGAAACAAGAUUUUUUUCAAGGGUUUUAAAGUGAGAGAAUGGAAGAGCACAAGGGUUUAUGGAAAGGGUGCACCAAAAGCUUGAAAUUUGAAGCUAUUUAAAGAAGGGUGUGGAGCUUUCUUAUCAAGUUUUCAUGGAGGUUGGGAAGCAACGUGAAAGAGAAGAAGAAGAAGAAGAAGAA